rnacentral:lncRNA from 1 species
GAGAAACCCCUGCAAAUCAUCAUCAUGAAGCCGGUGGACAGAAGCCCUCGUCCCACAUGGCAAGGUGGAACCAGCAUCACCAACAUAGUCUGCAGUUAGCUCUGAAUUCAAAUGAUACUCACCCACCACUUCUUGACAUUGAAAUUGAGCUUCAACAUCCGCAAAUGCCACUUGCCAUAAAAUAUCUCUAGAAUCUGGAGGAUAAUACCAUAUCUCAUAAUCUGUCCUCAUUACAUAAAGCAAAUCUUCCGAACCAUUCGCAUAAAUACGAAACUCUUCUUCAUCGCACGGAAGCCCUGAGCCUAACGUAGAUGCUGAAUUAUCUGACCCAUGACUGCAAAUCAUUCUACCCGACUUGGCAGCGACAAAGAACACGCUAGUUUUUUCGUUGCCUAAUAAAAGUGCACCGUCAUCCCAUACAUGCGGCAUCCUUCUCAUAAACUCUUCAACAUCUAUCGAGGGUUUCUGCUAAACAAAAAAAUCACAUUAGCGUAAUGCAAAUAUACAAACUUAACUUGCAGAAAAAGUACAUAUGGCAGCAGAAUGUGGCAAAUGACAAGAUGUGUUCUUAGUUGGUCAUAAAUAAUACAAUGACAAAGUCAGCAACUCUCACUCACGAAAAUUAAUAAAAUAAUAGGUGUAACAAUAAGCCUGGUUUUGUAAUGAGAAUUGGAGUUAUAAAAAUCCGAAAGGCUCAUGUUAAUGCAACUCAAAGCUACCUUCUCAACUUCUCCAUUUAUGUCAAGAACAAUCCCCACAUUAACUGGAACUGUUGUGUUCUGAGACAUGGCUGUGUUAGUGAAGAAGAAUAAGCUUAAGGUAAUUUGGGGACUUAGAAUGAAUGACAGAGGAGAAAAGUUUUGUUGGGUUGUUUAGUCUCAUCAUUUUGAAGCUUCUAAUUAGUAAUAAGGUUUGAUACUUUGACGACGGAUAGCUCUUGUUCGUCUAGUAUGUCGCUGAUAUGACAAAAUAUAAAAAAUUGGUCGUUUCACAUACAUCGAUUACAUGUGUAUCUAGGAGUGGAAAGAGUUUUGGGUACCGCUGUAUUGCCUCCUUUCCAUUGAUUCCAUGCUAUGCGUGUUGAGCUUUUUUUUUUUUUUUUAAUAAUUGAUUGAUAUACGAGUACAAAUAAUAGGAGAAUGAAUCAUAUUUGGGGGUCAUUUGGCCAAAACUUGUCGUGUGGAAUUGGAAAGGAGUGUUGUGCAAAUUUUAAUAUACUCGCAAGCGCACAAAUAUAGAAAUACAAUAGUGGUAACGAGGCCGAUCCCACAGAGAUUGUUAUAAAUUGGAAAGUUUAAUUUAAAUUUAAAAUUAAUAUUAAUCAUAACCUAGUUGAGCAAUUUGAAUUUUUUAGAGAAAUUAAACUAAUUAAACUAAGAAAAUAAUUAAAGCAAAUGAGAAAUCAAUAAGACAAAAAUUACCAAGGUUUCGGAAUCCACUACUAUUUAAUUAGUAAUUAUCUAAAUAUUAAUUAAUCCCCAAUUUUAAAGUGACAACUAGAUAUCAAUUUAUGUCAUCUCAUAAAUAUAACAAUUAAGCCCAAUUAAAAUUAAUCUUGUGUAAGUUCUUUUUCUGCUUAAUAGUAUGAUAUCUAAGUAUCCCAUGUAAACAUAUUAAAUAACAAAGAGUCAAAAUUUUCAUAAGUACUCUGUGUAGAUAAUUUAAUGAAAGACAUAGAAUCAAAGAUAAUUAUGUAUAAACUUUAUAGAUCAAAGCAUAGAUUUAAUCGAAUAAUAAUCCGAACAAUCAAUAAUGCAUGACAAAAUUAAUGAAAAGAUUUUAAUAACAUCCAAUUAAUCAUGUGAAAUAAAAACCAUAAUCAUCAAAGAAUAUAUAUAGGGAAUUAAUUAAAUAAAAAGAUAAUUAAUUCAUUGAAUAUGGUUUUAUCCUUAACCUCAGUAUAAGAAAAUUAGCUAGACAUACUUGAAUUGGGAGCAACAAAAUUAAUAAAAUCAGCCAUGGGAAGCCGAAUUGCUGCUGCAAUUUUUCUUCUCUCCCAGCCUUCCCUCUCCUCCUCCGGUGGCUGCUCUCUAAUUCCUUUUAUAUUGUAACUCCACCAAAAAAUCCUCAAGUCAAAAGGUUUUAAAACAAGCCUAGCACAACCGACUUUGAGCCCAUGCACGUGAAGCCCACUUGGAAUUUUCAUUCCUUUUUAAAUGCCAUGCAGUUGCUGCUCACGUGCUGGCCACUUUAGCUUUAAAUUUCUUCUUUGUUUGCACUAGCAUGGAGAAUUCAAUUUAUGGCUUCGGCUUCUUCGGAUUGAAUUUCAUACACAUCUGCUUAAUUGCUUCCACAAAUUGACUUGAUCUUCAAUGCUGUCCAAUUAUUAUUCCUUAUACACUUUUCAUCCAUAAUCUCCAAUUAAUUCCCUAAUUAAUAAAAUAACUCAAUUAAUUAUAAAAAAUAAAUAAAAAUAACUAGUAAUUAUAUAAUUAAAGAUAAAAUAUGUAUAUAAAUGAUGCUCAUCAAGAAGCAAAAGGUCUCAACUUCGUAUUUGCUGGUUUAGAAUUAAUAGUUUUUCAUCUUAAAAAGAUACGCAAAAUUAUAAAUAUUCGGAUCCACACCUCGUCUGAACUCUACAUUCUCAUGCAUCUUGUACAUCCGUGGCAUGAGAAAACAAGGCAACUAAAUGGCUUGGUAGCAAAAUCUCCUUGAACUAUAGAAUUUUGGAGUAGUUACCUCAAAACUCAAAGAUAUGAUUUGUCUGAAGCUCCUCAAACCAUUCUUUAAACUCAAUAAUGGAGUGGGACAUGUCUGAGUCCGAUAUUGUCAGACUCUGCUAACUGCAAGAUUUCGUCAUUUUUGUCUCAUUUCAUGAUCUGCCGUUUACCUUGACCAAAUCAAACCGUAUAUGUUUCAAAAAGAAAAAGUCACAAGAAAAAUCCGUACAUCUUUUGCUUCGUGCAAUGUAUCAAAGCCACAAAAACAACUUUAAUUUUACAAUAAGAAUAACCUUGCCAUAGUCAGCAUCAAAAUUAAUUAAAGUAAGUAAUUAAUAUUUCCUAGUCAGCGUCAAAAUCUUCAGCAACGUGGACAGCAGAGCGGAGGAUUCUAGCAGCUGUAGUCAACAGAUGCGAAUUGAUGACAUGGAGUGCCAGCUGGCAUAAGACGGUUACACGGCUACUCAUGCAUGUACCAGUUAGUUUAUAAGUUAAUGGAAAAUGAUGUUUGUCCCGGUCAAACCCCGAAAAUAAAUAAAACGGCGUCAUUUUGAUUUUUUCUUUUUUUUUUUUCUUGUCCAAAACGUUGUUGUUUCACUUACCAUUUCCAUUUCACUUACCAGUUCCAAAACCUGGGAACUGGAUUGAUAGAAUCCAGCAGGUGGGAACGCGAUUCGUUUCCUCGUUUCUUCCUUGUUUGUGAUUCAUCCAGCAGCUGUCAAGGAAUUUCAUACUGGAUGACUUUGUUUGUGAUUCAUCCUCUUCGUCUUUAAGCUGAAGAAAGUUAUUAAGAAAGAAAGAACACACCCAUUUAGUGAAGAAAGUGAUUAACAGCAGCUGCGAAAUUUGUUGAGUUUCGGCUACUAAGCUGAGUUUGGACGGAACAAGACCAACAGCAGCUGCGAAGUUUCAGCAGAACAAGAACAUUGUCCCUGAAAGCUUGAAUUAUCGAAGCUUGAAUUUAUUUUUUCGAUACUGUCUUCUUUGCAGUAUUUUAUUUUUUGAAUUAUUUUUUAAUUUUUCCCUGCGUUUUUACAACAUUGUAACAUUGAAUUUAAUUUUUAACCACAAAAGAAGUAGAGAGAUUGUUGCGUAUGAGCAUGCUAUGACAUUUGACACCACAUUGAACCUGCCAAAAAGUGGUUAAAAACAAAAAUGAGUUGGGCAUUUGUUUGUAUAUAAUGGGUAUAAGUUGAGUAUUUGUUUCUAUAUUGCAUUUUGAAUGUUGAUUAAUGAGCUGGGCAUUUGUUUGUAUAUCCCAACCUUAUACUGUAAAAGCUGUAUCAUUUGACCUGUACAAAUGUUGGUUUUGAAUCAUUCAACUUAAACACCUUACUUAAUCAAAAGUCUUAUAGAUUGACAAUAAUCGAAAUAGAGGUGAAAAAGUCAUCUUCUUUUUUUUUUCCGAGUAAUUACCCGAGUUCAAAUCCUAGAAGAUUAAAGAUUAUAAAAGAUUAAAAAAGAAAAAAAAAGAGAUUAAAAAAGAUAAAAGAUUACAACAAGCUUGAGCUGUUUCAAUUUGAAUGUUGAGUUGUUUCAUUUUGUUUUUUAAAUUUUGUUUCUAAAUUUAAUGAAUUUGCGAUAAAUAACUAAUAAGAUAUUGAAUUAUUUAAAUUUGCAGCAGUUAAAGGAUAAUUUCGAACAAGUGGAGGAGGUUGAUGAAGUUAGAGAAUUGCAGGAUUUACAGGGGGCUGAAAUGGAAGAAAAUAAUGAGGAAUUGGUGGUGGAAAAAGUUGUUGAGCCUACAGUUAGGAUGUCUUUUGAUAGUCCUGAUGAAAUGUUUGAAUAUUAUAAAGCUUUUGGCCUACAAGAGGGGUUUCCAGUGAUGCGUAGAUCUUGUAGAAAAUGGGAUGAUGAGAGUUUGAGAUAUGUGACAUUUACUUGUGGGAGAAACGGCAAGUCAAAAGCGAAACCCACUAAUGUUUUGCGGCUUCAACCAAACCAAAAAAUUGGAUGCAAUGCUAAAAUUGGAGGACGUUUGGAUUUUGUUAGUGGAAAAUGGGUAAUUGGAAAUUUGAUCCUUAAACACAACCAUGCCGUGAGUCCGAGCAAGAGUAGGUAUUAUUGAUGCAACCGUACCAUUAGUCCUUUUGUUAAAAAGCAGCUUGAAAUAAAUGAAGAAGCUAGAAUUAAAAUAGCUCAAAGUUUUAAGUAUUUUGGGCAGAUCCAAGGAGUAGGGCAGCCUAUAAAGACUUUGGAGAUGUUGUCACAUUUGAUACCACAUACCUUACAAACAAGUAUGACAUGCCAUUUGCUCCUUUUGUAGGAGUUAAUCAUCAUGGUCAAUCAAUUUUGUUAGGAUGUGGGUUGAUUUCGCAUGAGGACACAGAGACAUUUACGCGGUUAUUUGACACAUGGCUAUCAUGUAUGUCUGGCUGUCCUCCCCUUGGAAUCAUUACAGAUCAAGAUAAAGCGAUGAAAAACAUAGUUUAGAUUGUAUUUCCAAACACUACGCAUCGAUGGUGUUUGUGGCAUAUACUGAAAAAGGUGCCUGAGAAGUUGGGAAGGUAUGCAGAAUAUAAUGCCAUUAGAGUUUCAUUGCUUUCUGUUGUUUAUGAUUCACAUACUCCUGUUGAAUUCGAGGAAUCUUGGCAUGACAUGUUAGAUAAAUAUGAUCUUAAAAUUAAUCAGUGGUUGAAUGGUUUAUAUGAGGAAAGAAAUCGUUGGAUUCCAGCAUUCGUGAAAAUUACUUUUUGGGCUGGAAUGUCAACCAGUCAGCGUAGUGAGAGUAUGAAUGCUUUCUUUAAUGGGUAUGUUAACUCGAAAACAACUUUAAAGCAAUUUGUGGAGAAAUAUAAAAAAGCAAUGAAAAUUAAAAUUGAGAAAGAAUGGCAAGCAGAUGCACGGAGUUUUGGCCAACGGUUGCCAUGUCGUACUAGUUUUGCAAUGGAAAAGCAAGUUGAAGAAGUGUACAUUAUUUCCAAGUUUCAGGAAUUUCAGUAGGAGCUGAUGAAUAAGAUAUAUUGUGAGGUUUUCAGUUGUGGGGGGGUCAUAAUAUGAAGUUAUUGAAAACGAUGAAAAGAGUAGAGAAAAGACUUUUAGAGUCAUUUUUGAAAAAGAUGAAGAUGAAAUUCGUUGUGUGCGCUCAAUGUUUGAAUAUAAGGGCAUUCUUUGCAAACACGCUAUCGUAGUGUUGUCACGUAACCGUGUGUAAUUACUGCCUGAAAAGUAUAUCCUAUGAAGAUGGAGGAAAGAUGUGCGGAGAUUCUCUAGUAAAGUCAAAGUCAAUUAUGAUGCACGGAGUUCAAGCAUUGAACAUCAGCGAUAUAAAGAGGAGUGCACUGCUUUUUAUGAUGUUGCUAAGGUAGCUUUCAAAAAUGAAGAAAGCCAUAAAAACAUUAUGGGUUGGAUCGAGAAAGUUAUGAAGGAUGUAUCUCUAAAUGUUCGAUGUGACGGUGACGAUACAACCAUUGAUAGUGGAUCCAGUAGUAACAUACAAGAUCCAGUGGUAACUCGGCGUAAAGGUCGUCCACCUUGUCAAAGAAAGCAAAAGCAAUUUAAGAGGCCAAAACAAAAAUCGAACAACGUUUCGAUAAACACAAUUAUAGAGGUAAUUAUAUAUACUUUAGAUUAAUUUAAUACUUUAAUACAUUCAUUUUAAAUUAAUUUAAUAUAUACUUUAAAUGUGUGUUGACUGCACUUCUAGGACGCAGAGAUACAUGAUUUAUCUUCUCAGGUGGCUACUACAAUCCCAACACAAGAGAGCAAUAUGGCUAUGGUAAUAUUUUUUUAUUUGUUAUUUCCAUUCAUUGUCAUAUGUUUGAUAAUUUGUGUUUAACUUUUUCUUUUUUUUGGUACAACAACAACCACAGUAAGCACCCCUACAACAUGCAUUUUUUCCCCCCUUAUUAUCAGUAUUAGAUGAAUUACGGUCCAACUCAUCAUGUACACUUGCAACAUGCACCGCAACAAAAUUUCGAGGAGGCCAAUCAAGGGGAGUUUUCAACUAAUGAACCAAGCAUGUGAUCGAAGUUAGGUUAUGCUUAUGUUUUAUGUAUUAUUCAACUAAUGAACUAAUAUAAUUUGGUGUAUGUGUAUUUCGACAUUUUUGAAAUUAUGGAGUUCAUAAGUCUAUUUUCAAAAUGCUAGAAAUGGAUUCAUUUGGAAAAUAUUAGAAUGAUUUGGGCCAUAGUAUAAUUUUGACAAGAAUUUUUUAGGCCAAAUUAUAAUUUUAUAAUACUGUAAAUUAAUAAGUCUAUUUUCAAAAUGCUAGAAAUGGAUUCAUUAGGAAAAUAUUAGAAUGAUUUGGGCCAUAGUAUAAUUUUGACAAGAAUUUUUAGGGCCAAAUUAUAAUUUCAUAAUACUGUGAAUUAAAUCCAGAGAAUCAAACAACUCGGAACCUUAUAUUUAACAUGAAAAUGCUAUUACAUAUGUCUACAAGUCUGUAACUUGAAACAACUUAAAAAUAAUACUUUAAGAGAAAACAUAAUCAACAAUCAUCAGUAUUUUAAUAAAAUCAUAUCGUGGUGCCUCUCUUUUUCGAAGUUCGUCGUCCAACAAUCGCCUCUGCACUUCACGUUCUCACAUAUGCUCAAGUUCUUUAUACAAUAAUUGAAAUUUAAUAGACAAACACUCGAUCUCUAAGGCCGAGUUCCUAACUUCAUCUGCUAACAAGUCUAUUUUCUCUUCGCUAGGUUUACGACCUUUUGCCCAUUCAAAAUUCUUACAUCCUCUACAAAUCCAAAAUUUACGAUUUGGAUUUUUUGUUGUGCGUGACGUUAACAACUCCAUAUGAUUACCACAUCCAUUACACAUUUGCAAUGAGCUUCGAUUCUCACUUAACUCGGAUGACAUUGUUUGUGGUUAAUAGUCCAUUGGGAAGAAACUGCCCAAAAAGGGAAACAAUUACAGUUAAUAAUGCCAAAGAAAUUACCCAAUUCAAAUUUUAAUUGCAAUUACAGUUAGUCAGACUUAAAAGAAAAGAAAACUAGAACAUAUGAACAACAUGAAAACUGGAACAUGAAAAGAAAUUACCACUAAAUUCUACAAGCAAUUAGCCAGCAACCACCCAGCAGCUAAUGUGAAAACUACAACCAAUAUGCCAGAAAGGCUACAUAUGUCUCGUGUAGCUGAUCCAAAUUCAAAAAGUUCAACAAAGUUACCAAUAAAUUCUACAAGCAACCAGCCAGCAACCACCCAGCAGCUAAUAUGAAAACUACAAGUAAUAUGCCAGAAAGGCUAUCAAAGAACCCAAGCCAAAAUGCACGCAAUCUAUAUACCAAAAUGCACACAAUCUAUAAACAGACAACUGGAGAUAAAAUAGAAGCCUCCAUCAAUAAUAUUAAUCCUCAUCACUCGGUUACAUUAAUUCAAAAAAGAACAUGAAAUACAAAAAGAGAGCAGCUGCAAUUGACUCAAAUCAGAAAUAUCUCAUACUCAGAAAUAACAGACAAGUUUCUGCUGCAUAAGCCCAGAAAUAACAGUCAAUUGUAGCUGCAUAAGCCGAGAAAUAACAGACAGAGCAGCUGCAAUUGACUCAAAUCAGAAAUCUCUUCGAAAUCUUCUAGAGCAAAAUCUCUUUUUCAUCAUCAUUCAUCCUCAACCUCAACAUUAGCAAAUUCAAAAUUGUACCCAAAUUCAGCCGAAAAUCAAUUGCAAUUUAACACACUUAAAUAAAACGGGAAUGACAAAAGCUAUCCAAAUUCAGCUGAAAAUUAAUUAAAUGGGAAUGACAAUAGCUAAGAAAAUUUAGCACUUGCAGAGCAAUGAUAUUAAAUUUUCAUCAUAACUGUCCUAACCUAGCUCAACCAAAUCGUCCCCAUUUUGCCAUAACCUAAAGAGGAAAAAACGAAGCAUUACCUCAGGCUGUGAACUUUGCCGCUUCGUGAGUUCAAUUUCCCGAACAAGUUUCCGCUACUAGCGUUGACGGUGACCGUGGCUGUGAGUCGGUCGUGGUGGAUCUCGAAUGGCUGGACCUCGGUCGAGGAAGGAAAGUAACGAUUUUUUUAAAGAAACGAAGAAACGAAGCAUCGAAGAGAUCUACAGUCAAAUGGAACAAGACCAACUUGUUCUUCUAUCUGUCUCGUUCCCAGGUGAAACGAAGAAACGAAGAAACGAAGAGGAAGAGAUUUAAUUCUUCUCAAAAUAGUCCAUCACAAACGGUAACGUUUUGGACAAGAAAAAAAAAAUCAAAACGACGUUGUUUUAUUUAUUUGACCUGGGGUUUGACCUAGGGCAAAUAUCAGAACUCUAAGCUAAUAUAAUCUGUUAUAUUAGUUAAAAAAUGAGUUGAAUAACAACUCAGCAAUCUUGUAUAUAUAAAACCUCAUGUACAUUUUAUUCUCAGUGUAUUGUGCAACAACAAAAUGAAUUAGAAAGUCCUGGAAUAUAGUUCUCGAUUCAUCUUUAGCAUUUUCUUUCAUUUUCUCAGUGUCCAAACAUCAAUUUCUCGGUCUUUAACUAAAAUUAAUUAAAGUAAUUAAUAUUUCCUGAUACUAGGUUUUAUUUUGGUCUCUGGAGGAAGUAAUUAUUAUUAUUUGAAUGAGUCUAGCUAUUGAACAAUAUUUUCCAUAACAUAUUUCUCUUGUAAAUCUAUGCCUGUGUACAAACGAUAUGGUUAGGAUACCGAACCGAACCAUACCUGUUCGGGGUUCAGUUCUAUUUCAUUUCAGAAUUUUCCUAACCAAUCAGUUUUGGUUCGAAUUUUAAAAAAUGAACCAACACCAAGGAAAUCAACAACACGAACUGAACCGAAAUCUCUCACCCCUACUGGGUUUCUUAUCUGAUAUUCAGGGUUAUAUGCUCACAAUGAAUCCGUAAAAUUUCCACCAAUAGCAAGAGCACUGACUUGAAUUUCUUUUAUAAUUUAAUAUAACAAAGCCAAGCGGUGCCAAGUAAAAAAACAUGAGCUUCGUUAACAGUUCUCUUUGCCUUCAGUUACAUGCUAUCUACUGCGAAACCAAUGUAUAUAAUUUUUUCCCUGGAUGUGCUUUUUUUUUUUAUCUGCGUCUAUGGUCCCAUUCCAGGUCUGAAUUUCUUCCAUGAGAACAUCCCUUCUGUAGCUAUGUUAUUUAUAACUGCAUUAGUUGUUUUCACGAACUACUUGGGGGCUUCUUGCUAUUUCUUGAUCUGGGUUAGUGAGCUCAACGGCAGACACUAUCUCUGGAGGUGCUUGAACUUGACUAUUUGGAUUAUGAUUCAAAUUACCAUACUCAGUUCUGGGUGUCCCUUGCUCUCCAUAGAACAAAAAGUGGGAAUCUGCAUGCUGUGAGUAGCUUGAAGGACUGGCUGGGUAGCGACUGUCUGGAGAGGCUUCAGUUGCACCCAUACCAUGAACUUGGAUGCCACCUUUUUCUUUGAAAGUAUGUGCACUGAGGUCUCUUGAAACAAAUAUUCUGAGAAAAAUGCGAAUUCUUGACAACAAUGAUGAUUCUGAAUCCUUCAAGACAUUCCUGUGCUGAUGGACAAAAACAGCCAGGAAUAUGAUGAGAGCUAAGAUUGCAGCAAUGCCAGCUAUGAGAAACAGACCCCAGAAACUGUUAAGGCCAAGGCUGCGAGAAGAAACAGCGGUACUUGCAUCUGGGCAGCUAGAAUCUUUCUUGAACCAUGCUUCUUCAAUUUUUUUCAUUUUAUCCCCUUCAGUCACAUUUAAGAUUGCCUUCGAAACAUCGUGCACUAGCGGGGAAUGUAAUGGGAAGGCCUGCAAAGCACCAAACAAAAGAAAAUCAGCAUUGAGAAAUUAAGAAAAGGUUGUAAUUGAUGUGCUUCUGCUUAAUUGAGAAAGCACGACAGCUUAAGUGUUUGACGAAUGCCCUCAUUUGCUGGCAGAUAAUGUUUAUCAACCACUCAUCCAUCCAUUGUUGGUAGUUAGAUAUUUUAUUACAAAUAGCUGUGGACUAAAAAAGCCAUGACGCCAGAAGAAAGUUCGAGAACUUACAAAACCAAAUCCAGCUGUUUUGAAUAUUGAUUCAACCAUGGUAUAUUUGGAGCAAUGUUGACCAAUAAGCAACUUCAUGAAGGGAACUUCAUCAAAUGCUGCUGCAAUGCCGCCAUUUGCACUGCCUUUUUGGAAAAGUUCAUCACAUUCUUCAUGAGAAUUAUACACUACAAGUUUCCUCUCAUCAAAGCCUAAUUGUUUCAGGAUUCCAAGAACAAAGGAACCCUUCUGGUAGCCAACAUUGUCCCCUCUCUUUAUCAGCAAGUUGACAUCAGUAAUUGUUGGCUGCAGUUGCUGCACUGUAAGUAGCGAAGUCAAGCUAGCUGUGUAGCUUUGAAUGAGAAUGAGCACAACAAAACACCAUACAAUCACCACAAAUCUGGCCAAGUUGCUUAUCACUCUCUCCCCUGUAUACGUAAAAGUUAAAGAAAAAACGUCAAUGUAAUGCCUUGCAUGGUGAAUGUGAAUGCAUUAGUAUCUAAUAGAAGUCAAGAAAGUUGAUGGGACAUUUAUUACGUUGUGAAAAGACCAUUGUUGAGAAUGAGAACCAGAAGCUUGUGCCAACUUGAUGCCUAGCAGGGCCACGAAAAUCUUCGUUUACUCUGUGUUCAAGAACCCACACUACAAAUCCAAUGAAAAUGAAAAAACAGCCACUUGUCACCCAAAGGUCCCAUGUUAAUGGCUGCAAGAACACCCAUGCAUUUCUCUUGUUGCUAUCUUUGAUCGGCACAAUCAUGGAUACUCCAGAUUCUGUAUAAGGCAGUGUGAAAUCUACAUAAUUUGAUCUAUUAAACACAAUUGUUGUAUCUCCCACCACAGCAUCAAAUUCCUGUUCAAAAUCACCCAAAAUAAAUAAAUAAAUAACAGGCUUUUACGUUACAUAAUCAAGAUGUGACUAGUACUAUUCUGAUUAGCAUUACGAGAUGGAUUUUUUACCUCGAGAAAUACUUGGUAGAUCAAAUCAUCGUAUGAACCGGAACUGGUGCCAUCAGGCUGAGCAUAGGCAAUAAAAUCAUAAGCGACAGCAUAUGGCAAAUCCUGAAUUACAGCUUUGAACACAUCUAUACAAUAUCCAGUGACAGAAGUUGUUUCUUGAGUUUUUGGAUCAAUUGUCACCUUCACAAAAUCACUAAAGCCUUUCUUUACGGGCACUCCAAUGCGUAGCUUCUUCUCAUUUGUAGGAACCUCCCAUCCCUUUGGAUCAGAAGUAGAAUCCCCUGGCCAUGUGAUAGAUUUAAGUUUGGAUUUUGUAGUCGAAUUUGAACUUAGUUUCAGCGUUAGUCCUUUUUCUGGUGUCCAAAAUCCAACCCCUCUUGCUCCAUUAUUGACAUUAAUAAUCUCAAAAGCUGAAGAUUGUAACUGCCCAUCAACAAAAAUGUAGUCCCCUGUAAGCCCUUUGAAUCUUGUACUUGAUAAAGCUUGGAGAAGUUUUGGACCAUUCUGAGAGAUACCAAAAGCUUCAAGAUCAGUUGCAUUGCUAGAAACAUUAGUCUUAUCAAAGCCAAAACUUGUGAUACCGGCUUUCUCGACUGCCACGGCCAGUGCCCUUGUAGCAUCAUAACCUAAUAACCCCAAAUUGUUCAAUUCAACAUCAAAAAGAGACGGAUUCUCCUGCAAAAAUUUCCUUUUCCAUCGAACUCUAAAAUUUUCGAGUGCCUUUGUUUUCGGAACAUAAGGUCUCACACCUAUCACUCCUUGCAUUGAAUCAAUCACAGAAGGCUCCAAUGUUCUUAACAAAUUGGUCAUGCCAUCGGUCAUGAUCCACACACAGCCUUUGUUCAUCAAUCCAAUUUCGUUUGCUCUCUCAAAAAUCCUAGAGCCAAGGGAAGGCAACAUAUGCAAAAUGAACACUCUGGUUUGCAUUGUGAAUAGUUUGUAAAGCUCUUUUUGAAUUUGAUCGUCAGUAGCCAAAGGAGAAAUGACACUUCUAUAUGGCACCCGAGUGUCAAUGGCUUGAAGGGCGUCAGUUAGAGAAGGAAUCAUUGCUUCUCCGUAUUGAUUGUCUACAUAAAUGGGCACAGCUUCUCUCCAACCAAAGGCUUUGAUUAUUGCAGUUAUGGCACCAACUUGAGAUGAGUCAUUUAGGGCACCUCUAAAGAAGUAUGGACUCCUAAUGGAAGUAAGCGAAGGACUUGUUGCGGAAAAUGACAAAAUGGGCACUUGUGAUUUGUUGCCUAGUUGAAUUAUAAAGUUGGUCUGCAUGGAAUUUUCAGGUCCCAGCAUGGCCUGUACUUGUACAUUUUUAAGCAAGUCCAGAGCUGUGAAUUGACCAAAGAAAAUUGUGAUUCAAUUUUCAUCAAAAUUUCCAAUUUCAAGAAAUAAAGAUUUAGUAUUAAUAGUAACUAGAAAAUAGAACCGCGUUUCACGCGGUUUUGAAAAAAGAAUUUAGUAUUUUUUUUUUACUUUACACUUGAUGAAACUGAUAAAAAAUAUGAAUUGAUUUUUUUUUUAAGAUGAGGCAGUCUUAUAAAAAAUAAAAAAAAGCUAUUAACCAGCAAUACAAAUAAAGAAGUAACACAAGAUAAAAAAUAAAAUGAGAGAAUAUAUUAUACUGUGAUUUUAUUCAUUCCAAUUGUGUGUGUACAAAACAAAAAGAUGAGCUCUCCUUUUAUAGUUACAUAAUCACUCCAUAAAAUUAAUGAAAAAUUAUGGAUCAUAAUUUCUUGUGAGAUAGUGGGAGUUAUAGGGAAGCUAAAGGUUGCUAAUGAGAGAUAGUGAGGAGACUAAGAGAUAUAUGUUAUGAACAUCUACAUUUAUUUUAAUAAAUUCAUAACACUCCCCCUUGGAUGUUCAUUACAAAGAUUAUGCCUCAUUAAAACAUUUACAUAAUUGUUAUUAUGUAAUAACAAUCAAAUUAAUUGUGAGAAGAUGAAAAACUAAAUCUAAAAGAAAAUUUCUCUAUUUAGUAGAUUUAGUCCCUAAUCUUUCAUAAUCUUUUAUGGAUCCUGGUUUCCUCAAUGCUGUUCGGCUCCUGUAAUUAAUGUUGCAAUUUGCAACAGAAAUCCCUCUUAACAGUGAAAUUAAUGACAAGGUAAAUAAUUAUUUAACAAAAAAAUAUAAUAAUGUUAUGUCAUAUGCCACACGUUAGUUAUAUUAUUAUUCGUUUUUGUAAACUCAUAAUCAACUCAUUUUUUAUCCUAAGUGGGAUAAAUUAAGCUUGCUCUUCCACAAAUUUAGAAAUUAAAAAUUGAAAUAGCAUUUUUUCCCCUUAUUCUUUAAAUUGUUGAUUACAACUUUGAGGUUUUUCUCUUUGAUCAUAUUGAUAGUCUUAGCAUAAAUAAGCAUAAUAUAAUUAUACCUCAUCAACAAAUGGAUACUAAUGUAUGGUAGUAAUGUGGUCGACAAGUUUCAAGAUAAAAAAUGAACUUGUUUUCUAUUAAUUUUUUAGUAACUAUCUUUAUCUAAAUCUUUUUCAUAUUGCUUAUGUUAUGAAGAGUGAUACUAUCUCAUAACAUUGUCUAAUUAGCUCACAACUUUAAGACUAUUUAUGAAAUGCUUCAGAAUCAUGGCAUGCAUUCAUACAAUUAUCGGCAUAUAGUGAAAUUAUUCACUAGUAAUUUUAUUAUACUGAAUCGGAAGAAUUUACAGUUAUUAUCACUGGUCAACGUUUUUGCUUACUCAUACAAGUAUCAAGAUUCGUAGCUUCCCAAGUCCUAGGCUGGGAAAGCCUCACGCAUAGGCAUAGACAAAUGGUAUGAGAAGAAUUUUUGUUUUUAUUUUUAAAUUUUAAAAGAUAAGUAAUGGACAACGCCCAAAAGCUCGGAUGGUCAAAUAAAAAAAAUUAAUAUUUAAAAAUUACUUGAUCAAACCCAAAAUCGAUAAUUAUAAGUGAAACUAAUAUAUUAUUUUAAUUAUUAUUGUUAUUUCACUUGUCUACGGUUUUGGUUAUUUACAGCUAAGUAAUUGGAUCGCUUUGUUAUAUUGUACUCAAGUUCUAUACAAGGAGUACCGCCAAUUCUUAUCUUAUUUUAUUUAUUUAUUUAUUAUUAUUUUUUCAUACACGUUUUCAGUUUCAAGUGAUUAGGGGUGUUCAGAAUCCAAUCCGAUUCGCUCAAUCCGUCUAAUCCGUAUAAGUCCGAUCCGUGAAUUGGUGGAUUGAAUUGAAUUGAAAAUUUAAAAAUCCACAGAUGGUGGAUUGGAUAUGGAUUUACUUCUGUAAAUCCAUUAAAAUCCGUGAAUCCGCAAAAAAAUAAAAAUAUUUAUUCAAUAAAAAAAUUAAACUUAUAAAUAUGGUAUUAUACUUACUAAUAAAUAAAUAAGUUAAAAUAUAAUUACAUUAACAACAUAUUAUAUCUUAUCCGAUAAUAAUAUAAAAUAAAAAUAAUUAAAUAGAAAAAUAUAGCUUCCUAAGCAGUUUAUUUUUAUGCACUGAUCUAAACAAAUGAUAUUUUUUUUCUUUUUGGUGUAUUAUAUUUUGAAACUUUGAAUGUAUUUUCUAACUUUAUUCAAACAAUUAAUUUAUUUAAUCUUAUUUAAUUUUGAAUUUAAUCGGUAGUAAAAUUAUUUUUAUAUUAAUUUUUUUAUUUAUUUAGUUCGUAAAUAAAACAUAAUUAAAAAAUUUUAGCUUGUAAAUAAAUCCGCAAAAUGGUGGAUUAGAUAUGGAUUGGGUCAAAUUCGCAUUCGAUCCAUAGAUAUAUGGAUUGGAUUUGGGUUAAAUUUCACCAACCCAUGGAUUUGAUUAGAUUAAAAAUUUAUAAUCUGCAAAAUCAUGGAUCGAAUAUGGAUUGAUAUCCAAUCCGCAAAAUCCGAUCAGCGAAGAACCCUACAAAUGAUGCUAGGUCUGGAUUUUGAUGGUCAAGACAUGAAUAGUUUGGAUUUUAAGCACCCAAUGGAAACUCUAGCAAAUUAAUCAGUAAAAUUUAAUGGGUAUUUAAUAAAACAUCACUAGCUGUCAAGGAGAAAUAAUUUGCUGUAUUUUUAGAGCUUAUUUUUAAUAAACAGUUAUAAUAUUGAUAUAUAAUUACUUACGAUGGCAAAGAAAAGUUACUGAGCAUUUACUUACUAAACAGUUUGUCAACUGGGCUUUGGUUAAUAAGCUGCCGAAAAGAUGCUAAAUCUUUUGACUCUAAUAUCCUGGAGAAAUUCUAGAAUAUAUCUGAGGUAUCAUGUCAUCCAUAUAAAAAGCAAUAAUAUCAUGAUAUGUGUGCAUUUAUUUUGAACCACUAUCAUGCAAGUGGUGAUUAAAUUCAAUUACACUUGUCAUGCAUGCAUCAAUUGGUUGUAGUACAUCUGAAGUAUUCUAGAAUUUCUCAAUAUCCUGAUAUUUGCCUUUUACUUCUAUGUGAUUGACAUUAAUAAACAAAUCAAUUUGUAAUAAAGAGGUAAGUUAUUGAACAUACGCGAAUAAAAAUGUACGUCUAUACAUAUAUGAGAGAAACUUUAAACGUUAAGUUCAGACCAAAAGAAGAUGAAUAUGAAUUACUAUAAAUUAGGAAGAAGCGAGGGAUGGCGAAUAAUGAUUGGGUACGUACCUGCAGCAGCAGCAGCAACAACAUCUCCUUUGGAAUCCCUGGUGUUAAGAAUAAGCCUGGUUUUGUAGUGAGAAUUGGAGUUAUAAAAAUCCGAAAGGCUCAUGUUGAUGCAACUCAAAGCUACCUUUUCAACUUCUCCAUUUAUGUCAAGAACCAACCCCACAUUAACUGGAACUGCUGUGGUCUGAGACAUGGCUGUGUUAGUGAAGAAGAAUAAGCUUAAGAUAAUUAGAGGAAUUAGAAUGAAUGACAAAGAGGAGAAAAGUUUUGUUGGGUUGUUUGGUCUCGUCAUUUUGCAGCUUCUAUUUAGUAGUAAUGUUUGAUAUUUUGACGACCGAUAGCUCUUGUUUAUAUAGAGAUGUUAAAGAUUUUUAAAAGUUUGAAAGUAUUAACGCCUUAAACGAAGCUGAUAUGACAUUCUCUACAUGGGGGGUUGGACUAACUGUGGCAUUUCUUAUUUUAAAAGAAAAGGAGAAAAGUCUUUAGUGGCCGGUUGGAGGGAAAUUUCAAGCUAUUAUAUUUGUCAAAUUAAUCUUAACAAGUUGUAGCUUGCCACUAGCAAAACAAAAUAUCACAAAUUGGUCAUUUCACAUACAUUGAUUACAUGUCUAUCUAGGAGUCGACAUAGUCUAGGGUACCGCUGCAUUGCCUCCCUUCCAUUGAUUCCAUGCUAUGCGUGUUGACUUUUUUUUUUUUUUUUUUUUAAUAAUUGAUCGAUAUAUGAGUACAAAUAAUAAGAGUAUGAAGUCAUAUUUGGGGGUCAUUUAGCCAAAACUUGUCGCGUGGAAUUGGAAAAGAGUAAAAGGUCUCAACUCUGUACUUGCUGAUUUAGAAUUAGUAGUUGUUCAUCUUAAAAUGAUAUAUAAAUUAUAAAAAUUUGGAUCCACACCUCGUCAGAACCCCACAUUCUAAUACAUCUUUACAUCAGUGGCACGAGAUAACAAGGCAUGCGCCUAAAUGUCUUAGUAGCAAAAUCUUCUUAAACUAUAGAAUUUUGGACUAGUUAUCUCAAAGCUCAAAGAUAUUAUUUGUCUGAAGCUCCGCAAUCCAUUCUUUAAACUCAAUAAUGGAGUGGGACAUGUCUGAGUCCUAUAUUGUCUUACUCUGCUAACUCCAAGAUUUCAUCAUUUUUUUCUCAUUUCAUGAUCUACCGUUUACCUUGACCAAAUCAAACCGUAUAUAUUUCAAAAAAGAAAAAGUCACAAGAAAAAUACGUGUAUCUUUUGCUUCGUACAAGGUAUAACGUACCAAAGCCACAAAAACAGCUUUUAUUUUGCAAUAAUAAUAACCUUGCCAUAGUCAGCAUAAAAACUAAUUAAGUAAUUAAUAUUUCCUAGUCAGCGUCAAAAUUAAUUAUGGUAAUUAAUAUUUCCUGACGCUAGGUUUUAUUUUUGUCUGUGGAGGAAGUAAAUAAUAUUAUUUGAAUGAGUCUAGCUAUUGAGUAUUGACAGUGCUUAAUAUAUCGCAACGACAUUAUCUUUACUUCGUGGAAGCAUCCUUUGUCAUGUCACAAUAAAUUUCUUGAUCAAGUACUGCGUUGUACGUGACCAUCAAUUAAGCUUAUUGACUCGCAAAGAUUCUCAAGGCAGUAGCUAGAGUUUUAAAUUUCAAUCGAAGGUUGUGUCUAACUUUUCUGCAGUUACCUACUAGUGAAAUUUCCAUAAUCGGAUUCUGUAUAUUCUAAAUUAAUACAGAUAAACACAUAUUGGUUGCUCUAAGAUAGAGCAUGCUUUCAUAACUGCACGAUUAAAAUUAGAACGUGCUUUUUAUUAUUUUAUCACUUUACGUAUAUAACUGUGAUUUGUGCUCUACUUUAGAGCAGCUCUAAGGUAGUCAUUGCCUUUUUUGAAAAGCAUACCCUUGACUUCCAAAGUUUGGAUUGUGGUAAUCAAUGCUAUGCGUGCAGCGCUUUUGUAAAUUCUUUUGCCAACUUGAUGUUAUUUUGUGAAUAUCUUUGAAAAAAAAAAAAAAAAGAGUUCAAAAGGUUUUAUUGAAUUUAUCCAAAUAAUCUUAAGACACUGAUUUAAAAAAAAAUAAAAUACGUGUGUUUAAUUUUAAAUAACGUUCCUAGAAGUCUUGAUCUGAGUCUUGGUGUCAUUUUCUCUCAUUUAUUAUUUAAUUUUGGGUCCAUGUAGUUUGCACAAGAAGUGGACUUCCAACUUUAACUAAAUCAUUAUACGUCUUAUUCAAUUGGUGUUUGCAAGGGCAGAAGAAAUUUCAAUUAGUAUUCUGCAUCACGGUCUCAGUCAUGGUCACAGUCCCAAGUAAUUUCGUUUUAAUAUAUAACUGAUGAAAGUAAUUUCGUGUUCAAUUGAACGACUCUAUUUAAUAUGUAUGUUUAUUCCAGUUUUCUGUCUGUAUUUGUGGCCACGCCAGAGUCCCAGGUAAUUUCGUUUUAUCUCCCUUCUAAGUGAGUUCUGUGAGAUAGAUUUAUAGGAAUGAUUUGUUAAUUGUAAUUUUCUCCACAAUUUUUGAGUAAUCAUCAUCAUCGAUCAACGCUCGCAUAAUGAAGAUUAGUGAGUUCAAUUCGGCAAUAGCAGGCGCCAUAUCUGGAGGUAGCCAUUCGGAUUAGGAUUUGGAUCACCAAACUCAGUUGAAGGACUUCUGUGCUCUCCGAAGAAACUAAAGUUGGAAUCUCCAUUUAUGUCAAGAACCAGCAACCCAACAUUAACUGGAAUUGUUUUGGCUUUUGACGGGGCUGUGUUAUUCAAGAAGAAUAAGAUCACUAGAGGAAUCUGAAAGAAUGGGAAAGGGGGAACACUUUUCAUUGGGUUGUUUAGGAUGCGUUUUGAAAUUGAGUUGCUGUAGAUUUUAAGCUAUAGUUGCUCUGGAAAAAAAGUUGUAACCAUGAAACUACAACAAAAAAGGGCUUUAGCGACGAACUGAUUCGUCACUAAAACAUGCAAUUUUCGUCGCUAACGGUUAUAGCGACAAAAAAAUUUCCGUCGCCAUAAAAGCGUCGCGUUAGGUCUUUAGCAUCGAAUUUUUAAAUUUCGUUGCUAAAAACACUUUUAGCGACGAACCAAGAUUCGUCGCCAAAAGUACUUUUGCGUCGUUAAAAGUAUACAUUUAGCUACAAAUAUUAAUUUUCGUAGCUAAAAGUACUUUUAGCCACGAAAACUAUUUCGUCGCUAAAGGUAUCAUUUUUCUUUUAUUUAUUUAUUUAUUUAUCUAUUUAUUAUUAUUAUUAUUAUUGUUAAAAUAUUAUUAUUUUUAAUACUAAAUUACAAUGACAAUUAACACCAUUAUGGUAAAAACAUGAUUAAUUAAUUUUAAAACAAUUAUUAUUAUUGAUGAGCAAUACAAAAAUAAUUACAAAAUUUAAUAUUGUUACAAAUGAAUAUAAAUUUCUUAGUUUUCUUCAUCUUGAUGAAAUUGGUCUUCAAUAUUCCCUACAAAUAAACACACAAUAAUUAGUUAAGAUAAUAAACACAAAUUUAAUAAUAAUAUAAGUUAGAAUAAAUAAGAUAAGAAAAGAAAAUACACCAUGUUCAAAUAUAAAAGAGAAAAGAAGUAGAGAUUAAAUUAGAAAAUGAGAAUUAUACAUUUAGAGAUGAGAGAAUUAAGGGAAUGAGAGAAUGAGAGAAUGAAAGAAAGAAUGAAAAAAAAAAUGAAGUAAAUGGUAUAUAAAUAGUAGGGGUGGGCAACUUCGGGUCCAGAUCGUAUUCGGAUGAAUCCGAUCGGAUUUCGGUUAAUUUCGGUUAAUUUGGGUUAAAUGGUUUAUAAAUAGUAGGGGUGUGCUUAUAUUUUUAUUUUCUCGAAAGCAUUGCAAAAUCCAAUCGAAUUAUUUGGAUUGACCCGGAUUCAAUCCGAAUUUAUUUGGAUCAGAUCGGAUCGAUCUGAACUCGAUCUGAUGCCCAGCCCUAAUAAAUAGGUUAUAGGAGUUUUUAGCGACGAAAAUUAGAAUUCGUCGUCAAAACUUAAUUUUGGUGAAAAUAACCUGGAAAUUUUUUUUUUCAACUUUUUUAGCGACGAAAUACUUCCUUGCUAAAAGUUAUUUUCGUCGCUAAAAGUACACAUUCAACGGUGAAAUUCAAUUUCGUUGCUAAAGGUCUUAAAUUUUCACAAUUUUUACGCAACGAAAAUAUAUUUCGUUGCAAAAUUUAGCAACAAAAUUUUUUUUUCUCGCUAAAACAUGGCCAUUUGAGAUAUCAAAGAGUUUUAGCAACAAAUUUUAUUCGCCGUUAAAGGUAUUUUUAGUGACAAAGUAUAUUUCCGUUGCCAACAUAUGCUAUUUUAGCAUAUCAAUGAGUUUUUUAACGACACAAUUUAUUCGUAGCUCGCUAAACCUAUUUUUGGCAACGAAAUAAACUAUUUGUAGCUAUGAAAGCUAUUCGUCGCAAUAUAUCAAAUUUUAAUCGCUAAAGGUUUUGGCGCCAACAUUUUUUUUGCCACUUAAUUUUUUGGCGACGAAACUAAUUUUUGGUCGCUAUAUGUCCUCUUUAGCGACAAACUUUUUCGUUGCUAAAAGUGAUAAUUAAAUAUUAUUUUUCUACUAUGACUUUAGCGACAAAAGUUCUUUUUCGUCAUUAAAAAGUACUUUUAGUGACGAAAAUAUUUUCGUCGCUAAAAACCAAUAUUCUUGUAGAGAAACAAAAGUUAGUAAUAUUUAGUAAAUAUAAAUUUUAAAUAAAAAUUUUGACAAAAUUAUUAAAAAUAUAAUAGAUUUUCUAUCAUACAAGUGAAAAAUCAUAUUAGCAUAGUUUCUAAGUUAUAACAGUUAACGUUUACCAAACACUUUACUGCUGUACCUUAAAAGCUACACUUGCCUAAUCUCAAUCCCAAACACACCCUUAGUGUCAUCAUUGUGAAGCUUUAUUUUAGUAGUACGUACGGUUUUGAUAUUUUGUUGAUGGAGUCAUGGAGUGAUUUUGUUCUUGUACAGUGUUAAAAGAUUUGGAAAGUAUGAAAUACACAAUUAAUGCCUGUAGAAUAAGCAAGUAAUUGACUUUGAAUGGGAAGUCUAUUUUUAUAGAUAUCGGAGAAAAGUUCUUUAAUUUGGAGACUUUGGUUACAUAGAAAUUUCAUGCUAUUAUAAUGUCUUACACUCUUCAGAUGCUAUUUAAUAUGGGUUAUAAUAUGGGGUAUACUAAAAAGUCUGAAUUGAAACACUUAACAUCAUAGAUUAAAAAUCUGUUAGUAUAUAGUUUGAGAAUCCGCACCAAAUAAAUGCGAGACCUACCCCUAUAUCAAAGACAUAUAUCUACUCUCUUCAAUUUAGUAUUUGUAUCCAAUAUUUGUACAAAUAAAUAGUCAGUCUCUUCCAUCUAAUACUAUUAUUUAUAUUUCAUCAUAACUUUCUAAAUUCAGAAAUUAGCAUAGCAUAAGAUAAAAUAAAACAACUUGUUGUCUUAACAGCAAAACUCCUUAAAUAAAAACAGACUUGGGACAAUCUCGAAACCAUAAGAAAUGACUUGUCGGAAAUUUCUUAUUCACAUUUCACAGGGGUAGGACAAGUCUGAGUCUGAUCUCAAUUUUGUCUCAUUAAUUUAAUCUCAUCAUCUACCAUUUACCUUGACCGAAUAAUGAAAACCAUUUACUCAUUCGAUUUGUUACGACAAUUCUUCAAUAUUAAAGAACUUGUGAAAGUCAGCAUCAAGACAAUAUUAAAGAAAUAUUUUCUUUAAUUAAGCUACUAGUAUAAUUAAUUAAGUAAUACAAGGUUAUUUUCUUUUAUUCUCUAGAGGAACUUGUUUGAAUGGGUCUAUGUACACGCAACAUUUAUCUACAAAAACACAGUUUCACCUUGAGGAAGCAUCCGUUGUUUUGUUAUUUUAAAAUAAAUUUCUUGAUCAAGUAGUGUGUUUUACGUAAUAGAUCAAGCUUAUUGAUUUGCAAACAUUAUUUAAUUCAGAAGGCAUUAGCUAGGGUUUUAAUAUAUAUAUAUAUAUAUAUAAUCAAAUGUUGCGUGUACAACUACUGAAAUCUCCAUCAUCAGAUUCUAAUACUCUAUUUCUGAGUAUACAACAUAAUAUAUAACAAAUCAGUUCUACAAACAAUAAUUAGUUAAAGUAAAUGAAGGUAGCUGCAGAAGAUUUGGUGAACAUACAAUCAGUAAGAAAAUUGAAAAUUUUCUUAAUAACGUUGCUUUCAAGACUUUAUUUCUAAUUAACUUUUUUUUUCUAUGCCUGAUAUAUUUAGUAGAGGAAAGUUUAAUGUAUAACAAAUUUUGCACUAUGUUGAAUCCUGUUACCAAGUAACUAAUUGUAUUUUUUUUUCUAAAUUAUUAUGAGAAAAAAAAACUUAAAUCUUCAAAGUAUAAACUCUUCAUAUUUCACGAAUGAACGUACAAAUCUUUUCAAAGUUUGGGUCAUUGUGAUCACCACUGUGCAUGCUUCUUCUCAGCCUUAAUUAUUUGCUGUUGUUAUCCCCCCCCCCCCCCCCCCCCCCGGGAAAAAAAGACUUUAUCAUAAUGUAGAUUCUAAAAAACAGUAAAUAGUCGUUAGUCCUUGUAUUUUGAAUUAAGUAUCCGUUUAUUUCUUAUAUUCAAGAAAAAAAAAUUUCUCAAAGCACUCACGCUAUUAAUAUGUUAAACUCCAACUCUUAUUUUUUUCUUUUCUUUUACAAUAAUAAACUUAUAAUAAUAUUUUUGGAGAUAUUAAUGAAAAGAAAAAAUAAUAAUUUAUCAAAUUAAUCUUAAAAGUAACAUAAAAAUUUACAGAAACUUUAUAUUAUUACUUUACUUUUAGGAUUAAUUCAGUAAAAUUAAUUUUUUAUAAAGUAUUUAUUAGUAAGAUUAUAAGUUUAUUAAACAUUGCUUUAAGUUAGCUGAUAUUAAUUUAUUCAUAAAAAUAAUUAUUUGUAAGAUUAUUGCAUAGGUACAAAAAAUACUCUUUUACACUGGAAUUUAUUGGUUAAUUUGCCAAUAGAUAAAUAUUGAUUAAUUUGCUAGUUAACUUGUUUAUAGAUAAAUUAAUUAAUAUCAAGAAUAUUAUUGAGAGGUUAUUAUUGUAAAAGAAAAGAAAAAGUAAAGGUAAGAAUGUAACAUAUUUAAUUGUAGGAGUGUUUUGAGAUAUUUUUUAAAAUAUAGGGAUUAAAGUGACAAACACUUAAGUCAAAAUAUAAAAACUAAACGAGCAUGUACCCCUUUAAAAAAAAGUCUAAUGGUACAUUUGACGUGCCCUAAUAAAUUAAAAAGCCGUUUGUAUCUUCUCUUAAAAUGUUGUGAGUCUACUAAUAAAAACAAGCCUUAGGAGUUUGAGUGUUAAAUUUUCCCUUUAUCUUAUUAUCCCUUUUUUUCAAGAAAAAAAAUGUUGUCCACAUAAUUUCCCUCAGAGGUUGACUUCUAAUUAAGUUCUAACUAACUAAUUGACUUCUAAUUAAGUUCUAACUAAUCUCACACUUUAUAUUAAUCUCAGGGAUCUAACCAAGUUACAGCCGGCUGUAACGUACUCUUCUCACAUGAGUAGUAGCACACUGGCAUUUGCAUGAUUUUUGUGAGAAAAGUAAGUUACAGCCGACUGUAACUAAGCAUUUGCAUAAUUUCGGAGAAUGGACUUGAAUUCAACGAUGUCUCAUUCCAUUAUUUUCAUUUUUAUUUUUUGAUAACAAAAAAAAAUAAUAAUUGAAUGAGACAUCAUUGAAUUCAAGUCUCAGUUAAUAGUUUUGGAAGAUAAGAAUGAAUUUAAAAUUAGAUGCAUCAAAGUAUCAGUCAUGGUCACAGUCCAAGUAAUUUUCGUUUUGCUAUUACUAACAGAUCCAAGUAAUCAGUUAAGCUUUCAAUCAAAUUAUAAAAUUGGGCCGUCACUAGUCAAAAGUCACAACUCACAAACCAAUAGCUACUUGCGGGUAAAAAAAUUUCACAAAUUGUUUUCCCUUUUUUAUCAUUUUUAAACUUGGAAUGCGUAAGGUCGUGCUUGCGUAACCCAACAUUGUAUUUACAAAAUUCAAAGGCUAUUAAAUCUUACCCUGCUAAUUCAACUGACCCUGUCUUGAACAAUAAAACAGAAAGGCAAUAAAUGAAGCAAUGAAAGAUUGCCUAGAUGAUCUAAAUCCUUUAUCAGCUGGCUCCAAAGCAAGUGAACCAAUGAAAGAUCACCAACAUAGUCUGCGCUGAGCUCUGAAUUCAAAUGAUACUCACCCACCAUCGCUUGACAGCCUCAAUAUCCGCAAAUGCCACUUGCCAUACAAUAUCUCUAGAAUCUGGAGGAUAAUACCAUAUCUCAUAAUCUGUCCUCAUUACAUAAAGCAAAUCUUCAGAACCAUUCGCAUAAAUAUGAAACUCUUCUUCAUUGCACGGAAGCCCUGAGCCUAACGUAGAUGCUGAAUUAUCUGAACCAUGACUGCAAAUCAUUCUACCCGACUUGGCAUCAACAAAGAACACUCUAGUUUUUUCAUAGCCAAAUAAAAGUGCACUGUCAUCCCAUACAUGUGGCAUCUUUUUCAUAAACUCUUCAACAUCUAUAGAAGGUUUCUGCUAAACAAAAAAAUCACAUUAGCGUAAUGCAAAUAUACAAACUUAACUUGCAAAUAAAGUACAUAUGACAGCAGAAUGUGGCAAAUGACAAGAUGUGUUCUUAGUUAUUCAUAAAUAAUAAAAUGACAAAGUCAGCAACUCUCACUCACGAAAAUUAAUAAAAUAAUAGGUGUAACAAUUAGCAGGGAUACCUAUUAAUAAAAUAAUAGGUGUAACAAUAAGCCUGGUUUUGUAGUGAGAAUUGGAGUUUAUUAGAAUUUGUAAUAAGGUGUUUGGAAACAAAGAAAAACAGAGAAAAUGAAAUGGAAACUUCUCGAUAUUAUUAUUAAAAUGAUCAAUACAGUUAUCAACUUUUCUUAGCUCAGAUUAUAAGCUAUUAUUCUAACUAAUAACAACUUAGAUUUAGUUCAGCCACUUAGCACUUGCCACAUGUCAGGCAGUUAUAUUCUACUUGACACGUCAGCUUGAGCUUGCACUAUCUGCUCUGCUUGAUUCACACGUGCUUCAUCACACUCAAGCUAUUGCAGCUACUCUAUUCAGCUCAGCUUCAACUAUAUCUUCAACAUCCCCCCUCAAGCUCAACUGAGGAAGUAAGGUUGAGCUUGUCAUGUAAGUAAUGAAAAGGAUGAUAAGAGAGACCUUUGGUGAGAAUAUCAGCAGUCUGUUCUGACCUGAAAAUAUACUGAACUUUAAGACAUUGAGCAGCAACUUUCUCUCUAAUAAAAUGAACAUCUAAUUCAAUGUGUUUUAUUCUGGAAUGAAACUUGGGAUUAGAAGCUAAAGCUGUUGCACUUUGAUUAUCACACCAUAUGAUUGGAAUGGAAGAAAGAGUAAUACCAAUCUCAGCAAGAAGAGAUCGAAUCCAUAAGACUUCAGCUGCUGCCAUUGCUAAUGCUCGAUAUUAAGACUCAGCACUAGAUCGAGAUACCACUGCCUGUUUCUUACAGCACAAAGACACCAGAUUUGGACCCAUAUAAACACAAUAACCAGCCACAGAUCUCCUAUCAUCUUUGUCCCCAGCCCAAUCAGCAUCACUGAAACAGUCAAUCUGGAUGCUACCAUGAUUGUAGAACUGUAAACCAAGCCUAAUAGUGCCCUUUAGAUACCGUAAAAUCAUUUUACAAGCCUGCCAAUGAUUGACAGUAGAAGAAGAAACUGACUAAGUUUGUUGACAGAGAAGGCAAUCUCUGGUUUGGUCAAGGUUGCAUACUGAAGAGCACCUAUAGUGCUUCUAUAUAGAGUAACAUCAGAGAAAGAUUCACUAUCACCUUUAGUAAAUGCCACUCCAGAAACCAUAGGAGUAGAACAAGGUGUACUAUCCUGCAUUUGCACCUUGUCAAGCAGAUCAGUGAUAUAUUUGGAUUGGGAAAGAUGAAUACCAGAUUUGUUGUACAGAACUUGAACUCCCAUAAAAUAAUUCAAUGCACCAAGAUCUUUAAGUGCAAAAGCAGACUGGAAAUUGGUGAUAAUCUGCUGAACAAGCUGAGAAUUGGAGCCUGUAAUGAUGAUAUCAUCUACAUAUACCAAGACAAGCAGUAGAUGACCUUGUGUUCUCUUAAAGAAGAGUGAAGUGUCUGAAAUAGAAUUUGUAAAGCUCCACUGAGUUGUAAGAACCAAUUUGAGUCUAUCAAACCAUGCCCUUGGAGCCUGUUUAAGCCUAUAGAGAGCUUUAUGCAACUUACAGACAUAAUCAGGCUUUGAACUAUCUAUAAACCCCUGAGGUUGUUGCAUAUAAACCUCUUCAGUUAAGUGGCCCUUAAGGAAGGCAUUGUUAAUGUCUAUUUGCCUGAGUACCCAAUGAUUCAUUACUGCCAUACUCAAAAUAAUUCUUAUAGUUGAGGACUUGAUGACAGGGCUAAAUGUUUCAUUAAAAUCCAACCAUUGAGUCUGAUGGAACCCCUUAGCAACAAGUCUAGCCUUGUAUCUAGAGACACUCCCAUCAGGAUUGUAUUUAAUCCGAAAUACCCACUUAUUCCCAAUUACUUUAACGGGAUGUGUAGGUUUGACAAGAGUCCAGGUAUGAUUGUGAAUUAAGGCUUGAUAUUCAUCUAUCAUGGCUUGAUGCCAAGUAGGAUCUUGAAGAGCUUUUGAGGCAGUAGCAGGUUCUGUAGGUUUAGUAGGAGGGGUUGUAAUAUAGGCUUUAGGUUUGAAUAUACCAGUCUUUGAUCGAGUGACCAUUGGAUGACUAGUAGAAGAUUGUAAUGGUGGAGUUAAAUGAUGAACAGGUGGGGUAGAUGGUUCUGUGGGUGAUGAAACAGCAGGAAAAAGUGAUUGUAUAAGAGUCUGAGAAAGGGAACUUGGAGAGGACAGAGAGAAAUUGAGAUCAGUUGCUGUUGAGGAUGAAGACUUGGUUAUAUCAAGUUGAAUCAAAGGACAAACAGAAGAAGAACAAGAGUGAGUAACUAAGGAGAAAUCAACUCCUGACUGAAAAGGAAAACAUGACUUAUCAAAUGUAACAUGGUUACUGACAUAGAUUAUACCAGAAGAAUGAAGACACAAGUAACCUUUAUGAAGAGAGUUGUACCCAAGAAAAAUACACCUAGCAGUUCGAAACUCUAGUUUGUGAUGAUUAUAUGGCCUCAGAUAUGGGAAGCAAGCACACCCAAAGACUCUCAUAACAUAGUAAUCUAGCUUUUUUGUGAAUGGUUUUUCAAAUGGCGAUUUGUUAUCUAGAAUGGGUGUAGGUAGCAUGUUUAUGAGAAAUGUGGCAGUGUGGAAAGCAUUCCACCAAAAUUUGAGUGGUAAAUGUGCUUGAGCAAGGAGAGUAAGACAUGUUUCCACUAUAUGUCUAUGUUUACGUUCAAUUUUUCCAUUCUGAUGAUGAAUGUAAGGAUAAGGGUGUCUAAAUUGGAUUCCCUGCUCAGCAAGAUAAGGAAGAAAUGGCCUAAACUCACGUUCCCAAUCUGUUUGGAGGCAUUUGAUUUUCCUAUUCAAACAUUUUUCUAUCAUAUGCUGGAAUUCAAUAAAAGUUUGUAAGGCUUGAGACUUGGUAACAAGAGGGAAUAUCCAAGUGAAUCUAGUAAAGUCAUCUAAGAUUGAAAGAUAGUAAUGAUAGUCUUGUGAGGACAGCAAAGGAGCUGGUCCCCAUAGAUCAGCAUGCAACAAUUCCAGUGGUUGAAUGGUAGUGGUAUCUAUAGAGGGAAAAUACUACAUGUGACAUUUGCCAAAUUGGCAAGCAUUACAGAAAAUUGGUUUGAGGGCUCUAUUGAUAUCGAGAGAAGGAUUCAAAUACUUUAUAAUUUUUUUAAGAGCAUGCACUGUAAGAUGACCCAUUCUCUUAUGUAAAAUAUUGUAAUCAACUGACUUUGAGUAAGCAACUGACAGGGCCAUUGAGGCUUCAUUAUUGAAUUGAGAAUUAUUUACAGCUGACAGAUUUCAUCAGAAUGUAUAGAAUUGGAAACAUUGGAAUGACUAAUCAUAGACACUGGAUAAGAAUAGACACUUGAAACAAGACUUGAAUUUGAGGUGACAAAUAAAGCAUUAGACUGGACUUUAUUUGAAACUACAGCAUGAGACACUGCAACAAGACCUUCAACUUAAUAUAAUCCUCCUUUAGCAAUCCCCUUGAGCAAAAUGAUCCCCGAGUUCUUGUCCUUGACAAAACAAGAGGUUUUAUGGAAUUCAACAACAACAUCAUUGUCAGCUAGUAGUUUAGAUACAUUUAAAAGAUUUUUGGUUAUACCUGGGACAUGCAAAAUAUUAUUGAGAUAGAUAGGUGUGGCAGCAAGUGUAUUCAAUAUUGUGCAACCAACAUGUUUACUAUGCAACCCCAUGCCAUUACCUACAUGUAGCUUGUCAAUACCAUGAUAAACUGAGUAAGAUGAGAAGAUACAUGCUUCUUUUGUCACAUGAUUUGUGGCCCCUGAGUCAAUAUACCAAGCAGGAUCAGCUACAACUCCAUAAUCAGCAACUGGAGCAGUAGGAGCAAUUGAUGCAGUAGGAACAGUAGGUGGAACAACUCCAUAGUUAGCAAAUGGAGUAGCAACAUUGUAUUGGCCUUGAAUCAUAGGAAACCCUUGAGGAUACAGAACAUUGGCAGUCUGAUAUACAACAUUCCCUUGAAACAUAGGUGCAUUAUAUCUAGGAGUACCAGUUGCAGCUCCAUAAAAACCACCAUAACCUCUGCCAUACAUGUUCUGAGACUGACUAGGAAAACCUUUGUAAUUAAAUCCACCUCUAGGCAUAAAGCCACAUCUUCCUUGCCUAGGAAUAAAAUUCUGAUUAAAUCUGUUCCUACAUUUGUAUGCUCCAUGACCAGGAAUGAAGCAUAUUUGACAAAUCACUUCCUUAUCAACAUUGUAUCCUCCUUUGCCAUUAUCCAUUCCAGUAAAACUUCCACCAUUAAAACCUCUCUGAUUAACAUUAUUAAACUUAUUGUAAUUCUGUCCUUUCUGAGCAAAAUUAGCUGACAUAUCGUGCAUUAACUCAUUUUGCACUUUUCCUUUACUCAUCUCAACUCUAAUUUCAUGAUUAAGCAUUAAGGAAUACACUUCUUCAACAGUGAGACUAUCUUUUUCUACCCUAGCAAGUAUAGUUGUCACAAGUGACUCGUAAUUGUCAUCUAAACCAGUGAGCAAAUGCAUUAUAAAAUCAGUUGAAGCAAGAGGAUUACCACCAAUAGCUAAGCUGUCUGCAAUUUUUUUCAUCUUGUUGAAGUAAUCAUUUUGACAAAGAGGAGAAAAGUUUUGUUGGGUUGUUUAGUCUCAUCAUUUUGAAGCUACUAAUUAGUAAUAAGGUUUGAUAUUUUGACGACGGAUAGCUCUUGUUUAUAUAGAGAUGUCGCUGAUAUGACAAAAUAUCACAAAUUGGUCAUUUCACAUACAUUGAUUACAUGUCUGUCUAGGAGUCGACAUAGUCUAGGGUACCGCUGCAUUGCCUCCCUUCCAUUGAUUCCAUGCUAUGAGUGUUGACCUUUUUUUUUUAAAUAAUUGAUCGACAUAUGAGUACAAAUAAUAAGAGUAUGAAGUCAUAUUUGGGGGUCAUUUGGCCAAAACUUGUCGCGUGGAAUUGGAAAAGAUUAAAAGGUCUCAACUCUGUACUUGCUGAUUUAGAAUUAGUAGUUGUUCAUCUUAAAAAGAUAUAUAAAUUAUAAAAAUUUGGAUCCACACCUCGUCUGAACCCUGCAUUCUCAUACAUCUUUACAUCAGUGGCACGAGAUAACAAGGCAUGCGCCUAAAUGUCUUGGUAGCAAAAUCUCCUUAAACUAUAGAAUUUUGGACUAGUUAUCUCAAAGCUCAAAGAUAUGAUUUGUCUGAAGCUCCGCAAUCCAUUCUUUAAACUCAAUAAUGGAGUGGGACAUGUCUGAGUCCUAUAUUGUCUUACUCUGCAAACUCCAAGAUUUCAUCAUUUUUGUCUCAUUUCAUGAUCUACCGUUUACCUUGACCAAAUCAAACCGUAUAUAUUUCAAAAAAAAGAAAAAGUCACAAGAAAAAUACGCGUAUCUUUUGCUUCGUACAACGUACCAAAGCCACAAAAACAGCUUUGAUUUUGCAAUAAUAAUAACCUUGCCAUAGUCAGCAUAAAAACUAAUUAAGUAAUUAAUAUUUCCUAGUCAGCGUCAAAAUUAAUUAUGGUAAUUAAUAUUUCCUGACGCUAGGUUUUAUUUUUGUCUGUGGAGGAAGUAAAUAAUAUUAUUUGAAUGAGUCUAGCUAUUGAGUAUUGACAGUGCUUAAUAUAUCGCAACGACAUUAUCUUUACUUCGUGGAAGCAUCCUUUGUCAUGUCACAAUAAAUUUCUUGAUCAAGUACUGCGUUGUACGUGACCAUCAAUUAAGCUUAUUGACUCGCAAAGAUUCUCAAGGCAGUAGCUAGAGUUUUAAAUUUCAAUCGAAGGUUGCGUGUGUCUAACUUUACCUAUUAGUGAAAUUUCCAUCACCGGAUUCUGUAAAUUCUAAAUUAAAACAGAUAAACACAUAUUAGCUGCAGAUGACUUUGGUUAAUAAUAUAUAAAAAUUCCUUAAUGACAUUGCUUUCAAGACUUUAAUUAUUUUUAAUUAACAUGGGUGUUUUUUAAUAGAUAAAUUUAGAUGAUUUAAGAAAGUUGAAUGAGUAUGACAAAUUUUGAAAACAUCAAGUCGGACUUAACUGCUACUGCGAACCAUACGCAUACCACCACUUUUUUUUUUUGUUGCCCCCGGAUCGUUUUUUGAAAAGCAUAUCCUGGGUUUAUGGUAAUCGAUGUAUGAGUGCAGCUUUUUUGUUGAUUCUUCUGAGAAAUUGUUGUUAUUUUGUGAAAAUCUAGAAAAAAAUAGAGUUCAAAAGAAUUUAUUGAAUGCAUCCAAAUAACCUUAAAACACUGAUUUCAAAAAAAUACGUGUGGUCAUUUUAAAACAUUAGAGACCUACGACUACAUUUGGACAAAUCCUGGAAGUCUUGACCAACUCUUGGUGUCAUUUUCUCUUUUAAAAAAAUACGCGCAGUUUGCACAAGAAGUUGACUUCCACGUUUAACUAACUCAUUGUACGUCUUAUUCAAUUGGUGUUUGUAAGAGCAGAAGGAAAUUUCAAUUAGAAUUCUACAUCACGGUCUCAUUCAUGGUCGCACUCCCAAGUAAUUUCGUAUUUAAUUGAACAACUCCAUUUAUUAUCUGUUUAUUCCAGUUUUCUGUCUGUAUUCAUGGCCACGGUCCCGAGUAAUUUCGUUCUAUCUCGCUUCUGACUGAGUUUUGUGAGAUAGAUGCAUAGGAAUGAUUCGUUAAUUGUAAUUUUCUCGACAAUUUUUGAGUACUCACCAUCAUCGAUUAACGCUUGUUUAAUAAAGAUUAGUGGUGUGGAAGCAAGCAGCUAUUUUGCUGAACAACAUCAGUUCUUCCAGUUAUUAUUUUCUUUUUUUAUUUCUUGAUAGUAUUUGAUCAUGCUUGAUUCGAUUUCCUGUGGUGAUUAGGUUGCUGGAUUAAUCAUUAGAAUCAUUGACGUUCAGAGAUCAAAUCUAGAUAUUGAUUGUAUUCAUCCUAAUUUGUGGCUAUAUUAUUUGUCAUUCAAGCAUCUCACAGCAGCUGCAGCUUAGAAGUUCCAAAUUCUCACCCCCAAACGCACCCAAUAUCUAGGGUUGACCAUGUAGAUUAGGAUUUGGAUCACCAGACUCGGUUGAAGGGCUUCCAUGCUCUCCGAAGAAACUAAAGUUGGAAUCUGUGUGCUGCGAAUCGCUUGAAGGAUUAGGUGAGUAGCCAGUGUGUGGAGAGGCUUCAGUUACACCUGUACUAUGAACUUGGACGCCACGUUUGUCUCUGAAAUUAUGAGCGCUGAGGUCUCUUGAAGCAAAUAUUUCGAGUAAAAUGCGAAUUCUUGACAACAGUGAUGAUCUGGGAUCUGAUCUCUUCAAGACAUUUCUGUGCUCACAAACAAAAACGGCCAAGAAAAUGAUGAGAGCAGAGCUUGCAGCAGUGCCGGCAAUUAGAAACAGUCCCCGGAAACUGUUAAGGCCAAGGCUGUGAGAAGAACCCGCCUUACUUGCAUCUGGGCAACUAGCACGUUUCUUGAACCAUUCAUCUUCAAUUUCUUUCAUUUUAUCUCCUUCAGUCACAUUCAAGAUUGCCCUUGAAACUUCAGGUACCAGAGGGGAAUGUAAUGGGAAGGCCUGCAGAUCACCAAACUAAAAGAAAAUCAGCACGAGAAACUAUUGUGCUUCUGCUUAAUUUUGGGAGCAGAGCAGCUAUAGGCUCUAUGUAGUAUUGUGAUGCUGUGGCUUUUAAUCGAUAUAUGCUGUUGUUGAAUGAAAAUUUUUACAGUCAAGGGAAAGCUAAUAGGUGUAUGUUAGACACUAUUGGCUAUCAAACAAACGUAAUACUUAGCUUUGGCGGCCUAGCAGCAAAACCUCUGAUCUAAACUCAAUCAAAGUGUUUGGUAAAUGCCCACUUAUACUCGGCAAUUAUGUUAAUCAAUCACCUAUUGCUCAUCCUUUGACGGUUAAAAAGCUGCUGUUUCUCAAUCUCAAAUAUACACUAACAUACUGGGAUGGAAAGAGAGAAAUUUUGAGAACUUACAAAGCCAAACCCAGCUGUCUCGAAUGUUCGUUCAAUCAGUGUAUAUUUGGAGCAAUAUUGUCCAAUAAAUGGCUUCGUGUAGGGGAUUUCAUCAAAAGCAGCUGCGAUACCACCAUCGGCACUUCCUUUUUGAAAAAGUUCAUCACAUUCUUCGGGAGAACUAUACGCUAUCAGUUUCUUCUCAUCAAAGCCUAAUUGUUUCAAUAUUCCAAAAACAAACGAAUCCUUGUGGUAGCCCACAUUAUCCCCACUCUUUAUCAGCAUUUGAAAAUCAGUAAUAGUUGGCUGCAGUUGCUGGACAGUCAGUAGCGAAGACAAGCUAGCUGUGUAGCUUUGAGUGAGAAUAAGCACAACAAAAUACCAUACAAUCAUCACAAAUCUGGCCAAGUUGCUUAUCACUCUUUCCCCUGUAUACAUGUAAAAUUGGACGAAACAUGUCAAUGUAAUACCUUGCAUGAUGAAUAUGAUCGCAUUAGUUUCUAAUAAAAAUUAUAAAAGGUGGAGGUGAAGUCAAUUACUAUGUGAAAAGACCAUUGUUGAGAACGAGAACCAGAAGCUUGUGCCAACUUGAUGCUGAGCAGGGCCACGAAAGUCUUCAUUUACUCUGUGUUCAAGGACCCACACUACAAAUCCAAUGAAAAUGAAAAAACAACCACUAGUCACCCACAGGUCCAAAGUCAGAGGCUGCAGGAAUACCCAUGCAUUUUUCUUCUUGUUGUCUUUUAUUGGCACGAUCAUGGACACUCCGGAUUCUGUGUAUGGUAGUGUAAAUUCUACAAACUUUGAUCUAUUAGCCAAAAUUGUUGUAUCGCCCACCACAGCAUCAAAUUUCUGUUCACAUACACCCAAAUUUUAAAAAAAAAAAUCUUAUAAUUGUUUAAGAUGUGAGCAAUCUUAAAAUUUAGCAUCAGUACGAGGAAGGAUUAAAGAAUUGUUACCCCACGAAAUACUUGGUAGAUCAAAUCAUUGUAUGAACCGGAACUGGUGCCAUCAGGCUGUGCAUAGGGGACAAAAUCAUAAGCAACAGCAUAUGGCAAUUCCUCAAUGACAGCUUUAAACACAGCUAUAGAAUAUCCAGUGACUGAUGCUGAUUCUCGAGUAUUUGGAUCAAUUGUCACCUUCACAAAAUCACUAAAGCCUUUAGUUACGGGCACUCCAAUACGUAGCUUCCUCUUAUUCGUAGGAAUCUCCCAUCCCUUCGGAUCAGAAGUAGAAUCCCCUGGCCAUAUGAUGGGUCUAAGUUUGGAUUUUGUAGUCGAAUUUGAUCUCAGUUUCAGCGUUAGUCCUUUUUCUGGUGUCCAAAAUCCAACCCCUCUUGCCCCAUUAUUGACAUUAAUAAUCUCAAAAGCUGAAGAUUGUAACUGCCCAUCAACAAAAACGUAGUCCCCUGUAAGCCCUUUGAAUCUUGUACUUGACAAAGCUUGGAGAAGUUUUGGACCAUUCCGAGAUAUACCAAAAGCUUCAAGAUCAGUUGCAUUGCUAGAAACAUUAGUCUUAUCAAAGCCAAAACUUGUGAUACCGGCUUUCUCAACUGCCACGGCCAGUGCCCUUGUAGCAUCAUAACCUAAUAACCCCAAAAUGUUCAAUUCAACAUAAAAAAGGGACGGAUUCUCCUGCAAAAAUUUCCUUUUCCAUCGAACUCUAAAAUUUUCGAAUGCCUUUGUUUUCGGAACAUAAGGUCUCACACCUAUCACUCCUUGCAUUGAAUCAAUCACUGAAGGCUCUAAUGUUCUUAACAAAUUGGUCAUGCCAUCGGUCAUGAUCCACACACAGCCUUUAUUCAUCAAACCAAUUUCGUUUGCUUUCUCAAAAAUCCUAGAGCCAAGGGAAGGCAACAUAUGCAAAAUGAACACUCUGGUUUGCAUUGUGAAUAGUUUGUAGAGCUCUUUUUCAAUUUGAUCGUCAGUAGCCAAAGGAGAAAUGACACUUCUAUACGGCACCCGAGUGUCAAUGGCUUGAAGGGCGUCAGUUAGUGAAGGAAUCAUUUCUUCUCCGUAUUGAUUAUCUACAUAAAUGGGCACAGCUUCUCUCCAACCAAAGGCUUUGAUUAUUGCAGUUAUGGCACCAACUUGAGAUGAGUCAUUUAGGGAACCUCUAAAGAAGUAUGGACUCCUAAUGGAAGUAAGCGAAGGACUUGUUGCGGAAAAUGAUAAAAUGGGCACUUGUGAUUUGUUGCCUAGUUGAAUUAUAAAGUUGGUCUGCAUGGAAUUUUCUGGUCCCAGUAUGGCUUGUACUUGUACAUUGUUUAGCAAGUCCAGAGCUGUGAAUUGACCAAAGAAAAUUGUGAUUCACUUUCAAUCCGCAAAAAAAAUUAAAAUAAAAAUAAAACUAGAAAGAAAGAUAUGUAAAAUUCCUGGCAAAUUCCUUCUCCCUUACAAAACAUUAUUUUACACAGUUUGAUAUUUUUGUUAAAGCCAUAUGCUACAUCACUCGAAAUACAAACUCUGUACACCUAACAUCAUUAUAUUAAGGACAAUUUUUGUUCAGUUAUAUUAUAAAUCUCUGUGCUUUUGCUCGAAAGAGAAGCAUUCCACAUUUGUCAAAACUUAUAAUUUGGCCUCCAUCUUGAAUAAGAAAUCCUCGUGUACUGACAAAUUAAAAGCUACGAAAUUGAAUUUUCAGAUAAAACUCUGCCAUGUUUGGAUGAUAGGAUUAAGUAUAGGAUUGGAUUAAUUUUCAGAUUAAAUAUUUAUCUCAUGUUUGGCAAGCUUAAUUGGACUAGAUUAAGGGGACUAAAUUUGAAUUUAUUCCUAAAAUCACAGGACUAAUAAUAUUGAUUUACAAAUGGGUUUAGAUGGGAUAAGAUUUAAAGAAAAAAAAUUGUCCAUUUAUGAGACUUUAUUACACCAAAUAUUAAUUAAUUAUUUUUUUAUUUAUGAUUUACAUAAAAUUUAUUUUUAUUUAUUAUCUAUGAAUUAAUUAAAUUGGUACUUUGAAAACAAUAAAAAAAAUCCUUAUUAUUUCAGUAAUAUCGUUUCCCCUCUCAUAUUUCAAAAUUCAUCAUCAUUGAUCAAUAAGAAUUUCUGGAAAUAAAAGAGGAAAAGAUAUGAAAAUGUCGAAAGUUUACACAAAUUUUUUACGACAACGAGGUUAAAUUUGCUGAUCUUUCCCUAUGAGAAUUUUAACUUGAGUAAAUACACGUUUUUGGACAUUGGUAGUGCUUAAUAAAUAGAAAUAUGGUAAGAUAAAUCGCAACUAAGAAGAAGCGAGAGAUGGCGAAUAAUGAGUGGGUACCUGCGGCAGCUGCAGCAACGACAUCUCCUUUGGAAUUCCUGGUGUUAAGCAGAAGCCUGGUUUUGUAGUGAGAAUUGGAGUUAUAAAAAUCUGAGAGGCUCAUCUUGAUGCAACUCAGAGCUAUCUUCCCAUCUUCUCCAUUCAUGUCAAGAACUAACCCCACAUUUACUGGAAUUGUUGUGUUUUUUGACGUGGCUGUGUUAGUCAAGAAGAAUAAGAUCAUUAGAGGAAUCAGAAAGAAUGGGAAAGAGGAAAAACUUUUUGUUGGGUUGUUUAGUCCCAUCAUUUUGAAGCUUAUUUUAGUAAUAGCUACGGUUUUGAUAUUUUGAUGGAGUCAUGGAGUGCUUUUGCUCUUAUAUAGUGUUAAAAGAUUUGAAAAGUAUGAAUUAUACAAUUAAUGCCUAUAGAAUAAGCAAGUACUUGACUCUGUCUCUGCAUGGAAAGUAUAUCGUAAUAGAAACAAGAGGAAAAUUCUUUUGGAAACUUUGGCUGCAUGGAAAUUUCAUCACAUACACCUCCUAACGUAUUUAACACUUUAGCAGCAAAGCUUUAGCCUUUUGGAUGCUCUCGAUGCAUUGCACUUACGUCACUGAAUUUGGGAAAAUGAUCGAAAUUCUUUUUUUUUUUUUUAAAUGAUUGAAAUCCCUAUUAAAUUUUAAAAUGCACUGAAAAUCUUUGGCGAUAAAAUUAAUUUUGUCUUUCAAAAAUUUAGUCGGUCAAUUUUUCAACAAAAACAUACAUUUAUCAGAUUUUCAAAAACCAAAUUGUUCUUAGAGAAAGUAAUUCGGUCAUUACAACUUCAACACUAAGGAGUUUCAAAGGAUUUAAAAAACCAGGAGGGGAAUUUCGAUCAUUUUCCACCACUGAAUUUCUACCUCAUAUAUAAAUUAAUUUAUUACUGAUUGAGAAGUGCAAAUGAAAAAAAAUCUAAAAAGAUGCAGUACACCAAAAGUAGAUAAGAAAAAAAAAUAUAGAAGUCAAAUUUUAGCACACGUCAAAUAAUUGUUAACUGAUUUACUAAGGAUUGGUAGCAAUCUAAAUUCGAGAGAUCGGUUUGGAUUUAGAAAGCAUUGUUAUCUGGUCUGCAUGUGAGUGUGUAUACAAAUACAUUUGUAAAUUUGUUACGCUCUUCGGAUACCAUAAAAUAUGGGGUUUAUUAAAAGUCUGAAUUGAAAAACUUAACAUAGAUUAAAAAUCUGUUAGUUUAUAGUUUGAAAAUCUGCACCAUUUAAAUGCGAGAUAUACCUCUAUAUCAAAGGGAAAAAGAUCCUCUCAUAAUCUGAGCUCUCAUGAGUUUUUGAAGAUCUUGUGUCAUGUGUCUUUAAGUGAUAGUGUAUGAAUAUAAUUUAACUUCUUUACUUUUUUUAUUUUAUUAACAACCAAUUACCACAUGUAUGUUUGCUCAGGAGAAGAUCAAAUCGCGAGCAAAUCCCGAUCCAUAUCAAAGACGUAUAUCUACUCUCUUCAAUUUAAUAUUUGACUAUUUGUAUUCAAUACUUGUAUAAAUAAAUAGUCAGUCUCUUCCAUCUAAUAUUGUUAUUUAUAGAGCAGUGCAUCUUCAAUUUUUUUAUCUCAAAAAAUUAUCUCAAAUAAUGUGGUAUUCAUAAACUAAUUGGUGAAAUAAUACAAUUAAUUCACUUAGAUUUUGUUAAGAAUUACCAACCACUCAUUUAAUAACACAACAUUUGGGAUUAAAAAAUUUAGGAUGUGUAUUUUUAUUCUUAUUUAUAUUUCAUUAUAACUUUCCAAGUUCAAAAAUUAGCAUAGCAUAAGAUAAAAUAAAAUAGCUUGUUGUCUUAAUAGCAAAGCUCCUUAAAUAAAAAUUGACUUGGGACAAUCUCGAGGCCAUAAAAUAUGAUUUGUCGGAAAUUUCUCAUUCACAGGAGUACUAGGACAUAGCUGAGUCUGAUCUCUAUUUUGUCUCAUUAUCUGAGUCUGAUCUCAAUUUUGUCUCAUUAAUUUACUUUCAUCAUCUAUCAUUUACCUUGACCAAAUAAUCAAAACCAUUUACGCAUCCGACUUGUUACGACGUAUCAAAGACACAAAACCAGAAUCCCCAAAAUUCUUCAAUAUUAAUGAACUUGCGAAAGUCAGCAUCAAGAUAACAUUAGAGAGAUAUUUUCUUUAAUUAAGCUACUAGGAUAAUUAAUUAAGUAAUACAAGGUUAUAUUCUUUUGUUCUCAAGAGGAAACUUGUUUGAAUGGGUCUACGUACGCGCAACAUUAAUUAACCACAAAAACACAGUUUCACCUUGAGGAAGCAUCAGUGAUUUUGUUAUUUUUAAAUAAAUUUCUUGAUCAAGCAGUGUGCUUUACGUAAUAUAUCAAGCUUAUUGACUUGCAAACAUUAUUUAUUUCACAAGGCAUUAGCUACGGUUUUAAAAUAUAUAUAAAACACACACACACAUUUAAAAUUUUCUAAUUCAUAAUUUUAUAAGUACGGGAAGAUUCAAGAAAUCGUUAAAACCGCACGAUUUUAAAGUUUUGUUUUAUAAUAUUAUUAAACCCUAUGGUUUUAAAAUUUUCCCGAACAUUUCCUGCACUUUAAGAUCACGUACCAAAAAACUACUAUCUAUAUAUAUCAGUGAUUUUUCAAUAAGAGAUCACUAACUUUAAUAAAGUCAUAGAUUAGUUAAAAAACAAAAAAAAUUAGAUUUCAAUACAUUAUAUGACAAAAUUCAGUGCAUUGAAAUCUAUGUUUAUUUUAUCUUUUAACUUGUCCCUAAUUUUAUUAAAAUAAAGGAUCAUGAUUGAAAAACUAUAUAUAUGCUACUGAAAUCUCCAUCAUCAGAUUCUAAUAUUUUAUUCUGAAUGUACAAUACAAUAUAUAACACAUCAGUUCUACCAACAGUAAUUAGUUAAACUAAAUGAAGGUAACUGCCAAAUAUUUGGUGAAUAUACAAUCAGUAAGAAAUUUAAAAAUUUCUUAAUAUUGUUGCUUUGAAGAUUUUAUUCCUAAUCAACGGUUCUCUCUCUCUCUCUCUCUCUCUCUCUCUCUCUAUAUAUAUAUAUAUAUAUAUUUGAGAAAUGUUCAAUUCUGUUGCCAACUAUCUUUUUUUUUAAUAAUAAUUAUUAUUAUUUUAGAAAAAAAAAACUUAAACUUUCAAAGUGUAAACUCUUAAUAUUUCACAAAUUAACAUGCAAAUCUUUUCAAAGUUUGGGUCAUUGUAAUGAAAUGACCCGCCCCGAAUUCCUAGGACGAGUCUAUCUAAUCUCGCCUAUUCGAAUUAAUAAUAAUUAUCAUAUCUAAGAAUUUUACCAAAAUUCGACAGAGUCUCCCCUAUAAAUAUAACAUUUCCAAACCUGUAAUUUACAAAACAACACUCCUAAAAAUAAUUCAAUAUCCAACUAUCCUUCAUAACCAACUUCUCAAGUCAACAUACCAAAUAUCACCCAAAUCAUUCUAAUAUUAAAAUACAAUGGUUAUCCUUAAUUACAAAAUAUAACAAAUAAUACAAUUCGCAAUAUCCCAAAUAUCAAAAUAUUAAAUCUACGACUCUUAGCACCAUCACGUGGCCAUAAUUUCAAUCUAACUAUUGUUGUUGGGUCGACUGAUGUACUUGCAAAUUUUCUGUGGGGGGGGGGAAUAUAAUAAAAAUGGGUGAGUAUAAAACUCAGUGAGCUCAGUAAGUGGAUAAUAGUUUUUAGAAAAAUAAAUUUAUUUAAAAUAACUUAAUCUUUCCCAAAACAAUUUCAUCAAAAUAUUAUAAGAACUUACAUAAACUUAUUUAAUUCAAAUCAUGCACUGAAAUAACAAUAUUACAUAAAUCUACAUAAAAUUAAUGAAAUCAUAAUACUUAUAAUAUCAAAUAUUGAAUACCAAAAACUAUCAUCAAACAAGUACCCAGGGGAAUGAUCUCAUCAUAUCCGGACCUCGACGGACGGGCAAUCAGGGAACCAUCAUGCUCCGGAACUACAACGGAUAGACGGGGAAAUGUCAUCUCAUAUCUCAUGUAUCUCAACAUCUGUAUCUCUGUAAUCAUCAUACUGCAUGCAUAAGCCCCCAAAAGGCAAUAGCGCCCAAACACACGGCCCAAAGCCUCUGUGUGUGUUUAGACGGCCCCAAAGACCUCUCAUCUCAUAUCAUCUGUAUCACUGUAUUCAUCUCAUAUAAACUGUAUCUCUAUAUCUGAAGGGAAAGAGUAUUGUUGUCCAAUGAUUUUCCAAACAACCUUUUAUACACAUGUACAUAAACAUAUAAUCACAUCUGAAAUCUCAUUUCCUUUUUAUUUAACAUAUCUCAAAUCCACUUAAUUCUAAUAUCAUGCAUUUACUCAAAAACAACAAUAAAAUCAUUAAUCAAACUCAUUCUUAAUAACAAUAAAUAUCAACACAGAGAUAAAAAUCAAUUUUCUAGAAAAUCAUUAAAUCGAAGCAUCAAAUAUUUAUUAUCAAAACAUGUUCUACUGUAUGGUAAAAUCAGAAUAUACUAUGAAAAUAGGUUUUGUAUAUUCCACUCACAGUAACGAUGUCCAGACUCGGUAUCACCAACGUCUGCGAGUUGAUUCUCGUUCGCGGGUCCUUCUAAUUAAAUAAAUGACAUAAUUAUUAUAUGUAUCAUGAAAUACGACUAACAGUACGAAAUAAAGCUCAAAAGCAAACUCCCGGAUACAUAAAAUUUCAAAAUUACCCUUAUGUCCAAAAAUUACCAAAAUUCCCCUCACACCGAAAUUUACCGAAUUACCAUCGAAAUCAUAAUUUAUCGAAUCAUCCUCAAUAUUUUAAAUUACCAAAUUGUCCUCAAUUCGGAAAUGGUGGAUGGCCACCAAUCUUGUACAUCCGUGGCAUGAGAUAACAAGGCACCUAAUGCCUUGGUAGCAAAAUCUCCUUGAACUAUAAAAUUUUGGAGUCGUUACCUCAAAACUCAAAGAUAUGAUUUGUCUGAAGCUCCUCAAACCAUUUUUUAAACUCAAUAAUGGAGUGGGACAUGUCUGAGUCCGUUAUUGUCAGACUCUGCUAACUCCAAGAUUUCGUCAUUUUUGUCUCAUUUCAUGAUCUGCCGUUUACCUUGACCAAAUCAAACCGUAUAUGUUUCAAAAAGAAAAAGUCACAAGAAAAAUCCGUACAUCUUUUGCUUCGUGCAAUGUAUCAAAGGCACAAAAAUAGCUUUAAUUUUGCAAUAAGAAUAACCUUGCCAUAGUCAGCAUCAAAAUUAAUUAAAGUAAGUAAUUAAUAUUUCCUAGUCAGCGUCAAAAUCUUCAGCAACGUGGACAGCAGAGCGGAGGAUUCUAGCAGCUGCAGUCAACAGAUGCGAAUUGAUGACAUGGAGUGCCAGCUGGCAUAAGACGGUUACACGGCUACUCAUGCAUGUACCAGUUAGUUUAUAAGCUAAUAUAAUCUGUUAUAUUAGUUAAAAAUGAGUUGAAUAACAGCUCAGCAAUCUUGUAUAUAUAAAACCUCGUGUACAUUUUAUUCUCAGUGUAUUGUGCAACAACAAAAUGAAUUAGAAAGUCCUGGAAUAUAGUUCUCGAUUCAUCUUUAGCAUUUUCUUUCAUUUUCUCAGUGUCCAAACAUCAAUUUCUCGGUCUUUAACUAAAAUUAAUUAAAGUAAUUAAUAUUUCCAAAUACUAGGUUUUAUUUUGGUCUGUGGAGGAAGUAAUUAUUAUUAUUUGAAUGAGUCUAGCUAUUGAACAAUAUUUUCCAUAACAUAUUUCUCUUGUAAAUCUAUGCCUGUGUACAAAAGAUAUGGUUAGGAAAGUUCUGUAAUCAGUAUAUCGUGGUCUUCUCAUCCAUUAGCAUAUCUCUGCGUAAAUAAUGCAAGUCCAUAUCAUUCUUUCUUAACUCUCCCCAAAAACAUUUUAUCAUGCAUGUCUUCCUAAAAAUUAGAUAAAUGACACAUAAACAAUGGUUACUGGUCAGAGGUAAUCGGAAAAUUUGGGUUGGGCAUUUUGCCCAAACAGAACCGAACCAUACAGGCUCGAAUGGGUCAGUUCUAUUUCAUUUCAGAUUUUUCCUAACCAAUCAGUUUUGGUCCGAAUUUUAAAAAAUGAACCAAUACCAAGGAAACCAACAAAACGAGUUGAACCGAAAUCGCUCACCCCUACUGGGUUUCUUAGCUGAUUUGUAGGGUUACAUGCUCACAAUGAAUCCGUAAAAUUUCCACCAAUAGCAAGAGCACUGAAUUGAAUUUUUGUUAUAAUUUAAUAUAACAAAGCCAAGGGGUGCCAAGUAAAACACUCGACCUUCAUUAAUAGUUUUCUCUGCUUCAGUUACAUACUAUCCACUUCUAAACCAAUGUAAAUAAUUUUUUCUCUGGAUGUGCUUAUUUUUUCAACUGUCUAUCGUCCCAGUCCAGGUCUGAAUUUCUUCCAUUAGAACAGCCCCUCUAGAGACUAACUAUCAAUGUCCUAUGAUCUAUAGCUAUGUUAUUUAUCACUGCAUUAUUUGUUUUCACGGACAACGUGGGGGCUUCUUGCCAUUUCUUGACCAGACACUAUCUCUGGAGGUGCUUGAGCUUGACUAUUUGGAUUAUGAUUCGAAUUACCAUACUCAGCUCUGGGUGUCCCUUGCUCUCCAUAGAACAAAAAGUGGGAAUCUGCAUGCUGUGAGUAGCUUGAAGGACUGGCUGGGUAGCGACUGUCCGGAGAGGCUUCAGUUGCACCCAUACCAUGAACUUGGAUGCCACAUUUGUCUUUGAAAGUAUGUGCACUGAGGUCUCUUGAAACAAAUAUUUUGAGAAAAAUGCGAAUUCUUGACAACAAUGAUGAUUCUGAAUUCUUCAAGACAUUCCUGUGCUGAUGGACAAAAACAGCCAGGAAUAUUAUGAGAGCUAAGAUUGCAGCAAUGCCAGCUAUGAGAAACAGACCCCAGAAACUGUUAAGGCCAAGGCUGGGAGAAGACGUGCUUGCAUCUGGGCAGCUAGAAUGUUUCUUGAACCAUGCACCUUCAAUUUCCUUCAUUUUAUCCCCUUCAGUCACAUUUAAGAUUGCCUUCGAAACAUCAUGUACUAGAGGGGAAUGUAAUGGGAAGGCCUGUAAAUCACCAAACAAGAGAAAAUCGGCAUGAGAAAUUAAGAAGGUUGUAAUUGCUGUGCUUCUGCUUAAUUGAGAAAGCACGACAGCUUAAGUGUUUGACGAAUGCCCUCUUUUACUGGCAGUUAAUAUUUAUCAACCACCCAUUCAUCCAUCCUUGCUAGUUAGAAAUUUAAUUGCAAAUAGCCAUGGACAAAAACUUAAAAGCCAUGACGCCAGAAGAAAGUUCGAGAACUUACAAAACCAAAUCCAGCUGUUUUGAAUGUUGGUUCAACCAUGGUAUAAUUGGAGCAAUGUUGUCCAAUAAGCAACUUCGCGUAGGGAAUUUCAUCAAAUGCUGCUGCAAUGCCGCCAUUUGCACUGCCUUUUUGGAAAAGUUCAUCACAUUCUUCAUGAGAAUUAUACACUACAAGUUUCCUCUCAUCAAAGCCUAAUUGUUUCAGGAUUCCAAGAACAAAGGAACCCUUCUGGUAGCCAACAUUGUCCCCUCUCUUUAUCAGCAAGUUGACAUCAGUAAUUGUUGGCUGCAGUUGCUCCACUGUAAGUAGCGAAGUCAAGCUAGCUGUGUAGCUUUGAAUGAGAAUGAGCACAACAAAACACCAUACAAUCACCACAAAUCUGGCCAGGUUGCUUAUCACUCUCUCCCCUGUAUACGUAAAAGUUAAAGAAAAAACGUCAAUGUAAUGCCUUGCAUGGUGACUGUGAAUGCAUUAGUAUCUAAUAGAAGUCAAGAAAGUUGAUGGGACAUUUAUUACGUUGUGAAAAGACCAUUGUUGAGAAUGAGAACCAGAAGCUUGUGCCAACUUGAUGCCUAGCAGGGCCACGAAAAUCUUCGUUUACUCUGUGUUCAAGAACCCACACUACAAAUCCAAUGAAAAUGAAAAAACAGCCACUUGUCACCCAAAGGUCCCAUGUUAAUGGCUGCAGGAACACCCAUGCAUUUCUCUUCUUGCUAUCUUUGAUCGGCACAAUCAUGGAUACUCCAGAUUCUGUAUAAGGCAGUGUGAAAUCGACAUAAUUUGAUCUAUUAAACACAAUUGUUGUAUCUCCCACCACAGCAUCAAAUUCCUAUUCAAAAUCACCCAAAACAAAUAAAUAAAUAACAGACUUUUACGUUACAUAAUCAAGAUGUGACUAGUACUAUUCUGAUUAGCAUUACGAGAUGGAUUUUUUACCCCGCGAAAUACUUGGUAGAUCAAAUCAUUGUAUGAACCGGAACUGGUGCCAUCAGGCUGAGCAUAGGGGAUAAAAUGAUAAGUGACAGCAUCUGGCAAUUCCAGAAUUACAGCUUUAAACACAUCUAUACAAUAUCCAGUGACAGAAGUUUCUUGAGUUUUUGGAUCAAUUGUCACCUUCACAAAAUCACUAAAGCCUUUCUUUACGGGCACUCCAACCCGUAGCUUCUUCUCAUUCGUAGGAAUCUCCCAUCCCUUCGGAUCAGAAGUAGAAUCCCCCGGCCAUAUGAUGGGUCUAUGCUUGGAUUUUGUAGUCGAAUUUGAACUCAGUUUCUGCGUCAGUCCUUUUUUUGGUGUCCAAAAUCCAACCCCUCUUGCUCCAUUAUUGACAUUAAUAAUCUCAAAAGCUGAAGAUUGUAACUGCCCAUCAACAAAAAUGUAGUCCCCUGUAAGCCCUUUGAAUCUUGUACUUGAUAAAGCUUGGAGAAGUUUUGGACCAUUCUGAGAGAUACCAAAAGCUUCAAGAUCAGUUGCAUUGCUAGAAACAUUAGUCUUAUCAAAGCCAAAACUCGUGAUACCGGCUUUCUCAACUGCCUCGGCCAGUGCCCUUGUAGCAUCAUAACCUAAUAACCCCAAAAUGUUCAAUUCAGCAUAAAAAAGAGACGGAUUCUCCUGCAAAAAUUUCCUUUUCCAUCGAACUCUAAAAUUUUCGAGUGCCUUUGUUUACGGAACAUAGGGUCUCACACCUAUCACUCCUUGCAUUGAAUCAAUCACUGAAGGCUCCAAUGUUCUUAACAAAUUGGUCAUGCCAUCGGUCAUGAUCCACACACAGCCUUUAUUCAUCAAACCAAUUUCGUUUGCUUUCUCAAAAAUCCUAGAGCCAAGGGAAGGCAACAUAUGCAAAAUGAACACUCUGGUUUGCAUUUUGAUUAGUUUGUAAAGCUCUUUUUCAAUUUGAUCGUCUGUAGCCAAAGGAGAAAUGACACUUCUAUAUGGCACCCAAGUGUCAAUGGCUUGAAGGGCGUCAGUUAGAGAAGGAAUCAUUUCUUCUCCGUAUUGAUUGUCUACAUAAAUGGGCACAGCUUCUCUCCAACCAAAGGCUUUGAUUAUUGCAGUUAUGGCACCAACUUGAGAUGAGUCAUUUAGGGAACCUCUAAAGAAGUAUGGACUCCUAAUGGAAGUAAGCGAAGGAAUUGUUCCGGAAAAUGACAAAAUGGGCACUUGUGAUUUGUUGCCUAGUUGAAUUAUAAAGUUGGUCUGCAUGGAAUUUUCUGGUCCCAGUAUGGCUUGUACUUGUACAUUGUUUAGCAAGUCCAGAGCUGUGAAUUGACCAAAGAAAAUUGUGAUUCACUUUUCAUCCCAAAAAAUAAAAAAUAAAUAAAUAAUAAAAAUAAAUCUAGAAAGAAAGAUAUGUAAAAUUACUGGCAAAUUCCUUCUCCCUUACAAAACAUUAUAUGCUACAUCAUUAUAUUAAGGACAAUUUUUGUUCAGUUAUAUUAUAAAUCUCUGUGCUUUUGUCGAAAGAGAAGCAUUCCACAUUUGUCAAAACUUAUAAUUUGGCCUCCAUCUUGAAUAAGAAAUCCUCGUGUACAGACAAAUUAAAAGCUACUAAAUUGAACUUUCAGAUAAAACUCUGCCCGGAUGAUAGGAUUAAGUAUAGGAUUGGAUUAAUUUUGAGAUUAAAUAUUUAUCUCAUAUUUGGCAAGCUUAAUUGGUCUAGAUUAAGGGGACUAAAUUUGAAUUUAUUCCUAAAAUCAUAGGACUAAUAUUAUUGAUUUACAAAUGGGUUUAGAUGGGAUAAGAUUUAAAGAAAAAAAUUGUCCAUUCAUGAGACUUUAUUACACCUAAUAUUAAUUAAUUAACCAUUUAUUUAAUUCUUUAAUUUUUUAUUUAUGAUUUACAUAAAAUUUAUUUUUAUUUAUUAUCAUGAAUUAAUUAAAUUGGUACUUUGACUUCUACUAACUAUUGAGAUUAAUUUUUCAUUACUUGUACAUUUAAUAAUUUAUCAAUAAAAUUAACCAUUUAAUAAUUUAUUGCAUUAUUUGAUUUUACUAAAUUUAAUAAUCACUAAUAUAAUAUUAAAAAUAAUCAUGAAAUAAUAAUACCAUUAAUUAAUUGAUUUUAGAUAAUAUUUUUAAAUAUUUGACAAAAAUUAAUUAAAUAUUUAGAUUGUUUUAUGCAUUUUUAUUUGAUUAUUAUAUUGUGACUACCCACAAACUUAUUUACAAUAUAUUUAAUUUUCUUACUAAUUGCUUUUUAAAUUUAUUUUAAUUAUGAUUAAAAAAUUCAUGAAUAAUUGAUAUUUAUAUUUAAAUAUCAACUUAAAUGCUAUUUAAUAUUAUCUAAAUAUAAUUUAAUAUAGUUUAAUCUGGUAUUGUACCAAACAUAAGACUAUAUAAUAUAAUAUAACUUAAUCCAAUCUAAUUUAAUCCAGUUUAGUCCAAUCCAAUCCCGUAUGCCAAACAUAGCCCAAAGUGAUAUGCCUUAUGAGUUGUGAAUUAUGCACCGGGAUCAAUCCUCUCCUAUAUUUAUGAACUUUUCCUAAUAAAAAUAAAAUAUGAAGUGGGAUGUAUGAUGAUUAUCAACCAUAAAAAUAUAAAAGUAAAUAAACUUUAAACCUACGCUUUUUUUUUUAAAGGUAAGGGGAGGUGGGCAAGCCCAAAUAUAAUUUUUACCCCCCUUACCACCUCCAAGAAUCGAGCCCGGGUUUUUGGUAAAGGCUACAGCUGCACUACAACCAACUCGAUCACGCCCUUGGGGGCACUUUAUACCUACUUACAUUGUUAUUGUAAAAAUAACGUGACAUGAGAUUUUCAAAAGCUCGAGAGAGCUAAGAUAAAAAAGAAGAUUCUAGUUAUUGAUUUUUGAUGAUUUUGUUUUUCUUUCUUCUCUUCAAACUAUACUAUUUCUAAAUACUUUUUAUUGGGGAUGACAAAAUUACCCGCAACCCAUAAACCCACAAAAACCCACCAGCUGACAGGUUUGGUAUUUUAAACUUAAACCCGCUGCGGGUUGCAGGUGAGUUUAAUAUUGAGAAAAAAUUCGCCCGAUACCAACUUGUGUAUCCGUUAACCUGUAUUCUUUAUUUUAAUUAUUUAUAUUUUUAAUUUUAAUCAUAAAAAUUACAUUAAAAAUUUAGUCAUAAAUAUAUGUAAUUUAAAUUUUCUAAUUCCUAAACCUAACCCAUCUCACUAUAUAUAUAUAUAUAUAGGCGUUCUCUUUUUUUUUCAUUGCGAACACGCUGUUAAACCGUAUGUUUUGAUAGUUUUCUACACUGACUAUAUAUAUAGUUCUUCUUCACUGGAGGUGCUCUCAUUUUUUUUUUUCAUUCAAAAAGCUAUUAAAUGGUGUGGUUUAAUAGUGUCAGUGAAUACAUGCUAUUAAACUGCAUGAUUUAACAGUGUGUUCGCAUUUAAAAAAAAUAAAGGCACUCGCACUAGAGUGUGUGUGCGUGUGCGUACAUACGUGUGUGUAUAAUAAUAAUUAUCUAGUGAGAGCAUCCUCAUUUUUAUAAAGUGAGAAUACCUUUAUUAACGAAUGACUAUACAUACAUACGUACGUAUGUACGUACAUACAUAUACACACACAUACAUGUGUGUGUGUGUGUGUGUAUUAUUAGAAAUUUUAUAAUUUUCAUGUUUAAUAUUACUGUUCUUUUAUUUUAAUUUAAUUGAUUUUGUUUGUUUUGCUUUAAUGACAUGAACCUAAUGAUUGCUUACUAGAGUUGGGUUUCUGUUUGUUUAUUUAUUCUAAUCGGUGAUUGUACAAAAUUUAUUUGUUGAUACUAUUUAUAAUACAUGUAUAUUGAUUAAAAGAUGGAGUAAGACAUUGAUAUUAGUGAUUGUGAUUUUCCUACAAUAGAAAUAUUUUGUAUUAAAUUAAUAAAUUUUAUGUAUUUGUUUUAAUCUUAAAAUUUUAAUUUCGUAUUUACAUUGAUAAAAUCUAUAAUUGAGUAUUGUAUACAGAUUUUUUAAGUUAUUGUUUUAAAUUUAUAGUUUCAAUUAUAUAAUUUAAAUUUUUAUGUAUUAUUAAAAUAUUUUUUGAUAUUUUUGUUUUAAAUAAAAAACCUUGCAAAAAAUUUGCUGUAGGUUGUUUUUUUACUAUAAGUUGCGGGUGAGUUUAAUAAUUGUUAAAAUCUGUACUGGGUGAGUUUUUUGAAAAAAUAAAGCUACUGCGGCUUACAAGUGGGUUUUGUAAUUUAAAUUUUUUGUUGAUGCAGAUUUAAUAAUGAUAAACCUACAACAAGUGGUACCCAUUGACAUUCCUACUUUUUACCGAGUCCUCUAAUUUUUUCAUUUACCUCUUUUCAUAUUCAAACCCGACAUUUUGAGAGGCAAAGCAUCAGCAUUUUGGGUUAAAUUAAUUUAUGGACUCUAACGGAUGUCACUAUCGGCUGACAAAUGCUGGGAAAAAAAUUAUUUUAUAUAUGGACCACGCUGCACGCAUGAAUUCUCCGGAUAUGGACUUUGGAAAACAAUCAAAACUCCUUAUUGUUUCAGUAAUAUCGUUUCCCCUCUCAUAUUUAAAAAUUCAUCAUCAUUGAUCAAGAAGAAUUUCUAGAAAUAAAAGAGGAAAAGAUACGAAAAUGUCGAAAGUUUACACAAAUUUUUUACGACAACGAGGUUAAAUUUGCUGAUCUUUCCCUAUGAGAAUUUUAACUUGAGUAAAUACACGUUUUUGGACAUUGGUAGUGCUUAAUAAAUAGAAAUAUGGUAAAAUAAAUCGCAACUAAGAAGAAGCGAGAGAUGGCGAAUAAUGAGUGGGUACCUGCGGCAGCUGCAGCAACAACAUCUCCUUUGGAAUCCCUGGUGUUAAGCAGAAGCCUGGUUUUGUAGUGAGAAUUGGAGUUAUAAAAAUCAGAGAGGCUCAUGUUGAUGCAACUCAGAGCUAUCUUCCCAUCUUCUCCAUUUAUGUCAAGAACUAACCCCACAUUUACUGGAAUUGUUGUGUUUUUUGACGUGGCUGUGUUAGUCAAGAAGAAUAAGAUCAUCAGAGGAAUCAGAAAGAAUGGGAAAGAGGAAAAACUUUUUGUUGGGUUGUUUAGUCCCAUCAUUUUGAAGCUUAUUUUAGUAAUAGCUACGGUUUUGAUAUUUUGAUGAUGGAGUCAUGGAGUGCUUUUGCUCUUAUAUAGUGUUAAAAGAUUUGAAAAGUAUGAAUUACACAAUUAAUAGAAAGUAUACCCUAUAGAAUAAGCAAGUACUUGACUCUGGCUCUGCAUGGAAAGUAUACCGCAAUAGAAACAAGAGGAAAAUUCUUUUGGAGACUUUGGCUGCGUGGAAAUUUCAUCACAUACACCUCCUAACGUAUUUAACACUUUAGCAGCAAAGCUUUAGCCUUUUGGAUGCUCUCGAUGCAUUGCACUUACGUCACUGAAUUUGGGAAAAUGAUCGAAAUUCUUUUUUUUUUUUUUUGAAAUGAUUGAAAUCCCUAUUAAAUUUUAAAAUGCAUUGAAAAUCUUUGGUGAUAAAAUUAAUUUGGUCUUUCAAAAAUUUAGUCGGUCAAUUUUUCAACAAAAACAUACAUUUAUCAGAUUUUCAAAAACCAAAUUGUUCUUAGAGAAAGUAAUUCGGUCAUUAAAACUUUAACACUAAGGAGUUUCAAAGAAUUUUAAAAACAGGAGGGGAAUUUCGAUCAUUUUCCACCACUGAAUUUCUACCUCAUAUAUAAAUUAAUUUAUUACUGAUUGAGAAGUGCAAAUGACAAAAAUCUAAAAAGAUGCAGUACACCAAAUGUAGAUAAGAAAAAAAAAUUAGAAGUCAAAUUUUGGAACACGUCAAAUAAUUGUUAACUAAUUUACUAAGGAUUGGUCGCAAUCUAAAUUCGAGAGAUCGGUUUGGUUUUAGAAAGCAUUUUUAUUUGGUCUACAUGUGUGUGUGUAUACAUAAUACACUUGUAAAUUUGUUACGCUCUUCGGAUACCAUAAAAUAUGGGGUCUAUUAAAAGUCUGAAUUGAAAAACUUAACAUAGAUUAAAAAUCUGUUAGCAUAUAGUUUGAAAAUCUACACCGUAUAAAUGUGAGAUAUACCCAUAUAUCAAAGACGUAUAUAUACUCUCUUCAAUUUAAUAUUUGACUAUUUGUAUUCAAUACUUGUAUAAAUAAAUAGUCAAUCUCUUCCAUCUAAUAUUAUUAUUUAUAGUGUGCAUCCUAAAUUUUUUAUCUCAAAAAAUUAUCUCAAAUGAUGUUGUAUUCAUCAAUUAAUUGGUGAGAUAAUACAAUUAAUUCACUUAGAUUUUGUUAAAAAUUACCAACCACUCAUUUAAUGACACAAUAUUUAGAAUUAAAAAAUUUAGGAUGUGUAUUUUUAUUCUUAUUUAUAUUUCAUUAUAACUUUCCAAGUUCAAAAAUUAGCAUAGCAUAGCAUAAGAUAAAAUAAAAUAGCUUGUUGUCUUAAUAGCAAAACUCCUUCAAUAAAAAUCGACUUGGGACAAUCUCGAAGCCAUAAUAUAUGAUUUGUCGGAAAUUUCUUAUUCACAGUACUAGGACAUAGCUGAGUCUGUUCUCUAUUUUGUCUCAUUAUCUGAGUCUGAUCUCAAUUUUGUCUCCUUAAUUUACUUUCAUCAUCUAUCAUUUACCUUGACCAAAUAAUCAAAACCAUUUGCGCAUCCGACUUGUUACGACGUGUCAAAGACACAAAACCAGAAUCCCCAAAAUUCUUCAAUAUUAAUGAACUUGCGAAAGUCGGCAUCAAGAUAACAUUAGAGAGAUAUUUUCUUUAAUUAAGCUACUAGUAUAAUUAAUUAAGUCUUUUGUUCUCAAGAGGAAACUUGUUUGAAUGGGUCUACGUACGCGCAACAUUAAUUAACCACAAAAAUAUCUUGAUCAAGCAGUGUGUUUUACGUAAUAUAUCAAGCAUAUUGACUUGCAAACAUUAUUUAUUUCACAAGGCGUUAGCUAGGGUUUUAAAAUAUAUAUAAAACACACACACACAUAUAAAAUUUUCAAUCCAAAAUUUUAAAGUACAGGAGCAUUCAAGAAAUCUUUAAAACCACACGGUUUUAAAACUUUAUUUCAUAAUACUAUUAAAUCCUACGGUUUUAAAGUUUUCCCGAAUAUUUCCCGUACUUUAAGAUCACGUACCAAAAAACAAAAUAUAUAUAUAUAUAUAUAUAUAUAUAUAUAUAUAUAUAUAUAUAUAUAUAUAGUAGUUUUCUAGUCAGGGAUUUUAAAGUGCGGGAAAGUCAGGGAAAGCUUUAAAACCACACGACUUUAAAGGCUUACAGUUUUAAGCCUUUAAAACCAUGCGGUUUUAAAAGUUUCCCGCACUUUCUCGUACUUUAAAAUUCAUGAUUGAAACAUUUAUAUAUAUAUAUAUAUAUAUAUAUCAAUGAUUUUUCAAUCAGAGAUCACUGACUUUAAUAAAGUCGGAAAUUAGUUAAAAGACAAAAAAAUUUAGAUUUCAAUACACUAUAUGACAAAAUAUAGUGCAUUGAAAUAUGUGUUUAUUUUAUCUUUUAACGUAUCCCUAAUUUUAUUAAAGUAAGGGAUCCUUGAUUGAAAAACUACACACACACACACAUAUAUAUAUAUAUAUAUAUGCUACUGAAAUCUCCAUCAUGAUAUUCUAAUAUUUUAUUCUGAAUAUACAAUACAAUACAUAACACAUCAGUUCUACCAACAGUAAUUAGUAAAACUAAAUGAAGGUAGCUCCCAAAUAUUUGGUGAAUAUACAAUCAGUAAGAAAUUUAAAAAUUUCUUAAUAACGUUGCUUUCAAGACUUUAUUUCUAAUCAACAGUUUUCUCUCUCUCUCUCUCUCUCUCUAUAUAUAUAUGUGUGUGUAUAUGACGCCUGAUAUAUUUGAGAAAUGUUCAAUUAUGUUGCCAACUAUAUUUUUUUUUUUUUUAAAAAAUAAAUUAUUAUUAUUAUUAUUAUUUUGGGAAAAAAAAAACUUAAACCUUCAAAGUGUAAACUCUUAAUAUUUCACGAAUUAACAUACAAAUCUUUUCAAAGUUUGGGUCAUUGUGAUCACCACUGUGCAUGCUUCUUCUCAGCCUUGAUUCUUCGUUGGUUUUUUUUUAAACCCAUUUACUGACUUUAUCAUCAUGUAGGUUUUAAAAAAUGGUAAAUAUUCGUUUAGUCUUUAUAUUUGAGCUAAGCAUCUAUUUGGUCCUAUAUUUAAGAAAAAAAAAUUAUCUCAAAACACUCAUACUAUUAAUAUGUUAUAUUCCAACCCUUAUUUUUUUCUUUCCUUUUACAAUCAUAAACUUACAAUAAUAUUGAAUAUUCUUGGGAUAUUAACAAAAAGAAAAAAUAAUAGUUUAUCAAAUUAAUCUUAAAAGUAACAUAAAAAUUUGCACAAUUUUUUUUUAUAUAAUUACUUUACUUGUAGGAUUAAUUUUUGGUAAAAUUAAUUUUUUAAAUAUUUAUUAAUAAGAUUGUAAGGAUAUUAAACAUUGCUUAAAUUUUGCUGAUAUUAAUUUAUUUAUAAAUAAUUUUUAGUAAGAUUAUUGCACAUCUACAAAAAAUACUCUUUCACACUCAUAUUUAUUGGUUAAUUUGCUAAUUAACCUUUUUAUAGAAAAAUAAAUCAAUAUCAAGAAUAUUAUUGAAAUGUUAUUAUUGUAAAAAGAAAGAAAAAAUAAAGGUAAGAAUAUAACGUAUUUAAUUGUAGAGAUGUUUUGAGGUAUUUUUUAAAUAUAAAGAUUAGAGUAUCAAACACUUAAGUUAAGAUAUAAAAACUAAAUGAGCAUUUACCCUUUUUGAAAAAUAAAAUCUAAUGGUACAUUUGAUGUGCCCUGAUAAAUAAAAAUACCGUCUGCAUCUUCUCAUAGAAUGUUGUGAGUCUACCAACAAAAGCAAGUCUUAGGUAUUUGAGUAUCAAAUUUUCCCUUUAUCAUAUUAUCCCUUUUUUUCCCAAAAAAAAAAAAAGUUGUCUACAUAAUUUCCCGAAGAAGUAGGCUUCUAAUUAAGUUCUAACUAGUCUCACACGUUAUAUUAAUCUCAGAGAAAGGACUUGAAUUCAAUGAUGUCUCAUUCAAUUAUUUUGGAAGAUAAGAAUGAAUUUAAAAUUAGAUGCAUCAAAGUCUCAGUCAUGGUCACAGUCCAGGUAAUUUUCGUUUUGCUAUUACCAACCGAUCCAAGUAAACCAUUAAGCUUUCAAUCAAAUUAUAAAAUCGGGCCGUCACAAGUCAAAAGUCACAACUCAUGAACUCACAACACCAUUAGCUUCUUGCGGGUACUAUUUCACAAUUUUUUUUUUUUUUAUCAUUUUCUAACUUGGAAUGCAACCCAACAUUGUAUUUACAAAAAUUCAAAGGCUAUUAAUUGUUACUCUGCUUAUUCAACCUACCCCGUCUUGAACAAUAAAACAAAAAGCCAAUCGUAAAGAAAAGGGCAAUAAACGAUCCAAUCAUUCAAUUAUUUUUAUUUUUAUUUUUUGAUAACAAAAAAAUAAUUGAAUGAGACAUCAUUGAAUUCAGGUCUCAUUCAAUUGCUUUGGACGAUAAGAAUGAAUUUAAAAUUAGAUGCAUCAAAGUCUCAGUCAUGGUUACAGUCCAAGUAAUUUUGGUUUUGCUAUUACAAACCGAUCCAAUUAAACAAUUAAGCCUUCAAUCAAAUUAUUAAAUUGGGCGGUCACAACUCAAAAGUCACAACUCACAAACCAGUAGCUACUUGCGGGUAAAAUUUCACAAUUUUUUUUCUUCUUUUUAAUCCUUUUUGAACUUGGAAUGCGUAAGGUCGUGCUUGUAUAACCCAACAUCGUAUUUACAAAAUUCAAAGACUAUUAAGUCUUAUGCUGCUUAUUCAACUUAUCCUGUCUUGAACAAUAAAACAGAAAGCCAAUCGUAAAGAAAAGGGCAAUAAACGAAGCAAUGAAAGACUGCACACGUGAUCUCAAUCCUUUAUCAGCUGGCUCCAAAGCAAGUGGAGGUGUUUCCACAUUGCGUAGAAGAAAUGGGGGGAAUUGUAGGUCCAGUGGCCCUAAUGAAGGAUUCGGACCGGAAGGAGGAGGCAAAGACAUCCAUCCACCUCCUUUACCCUGCACGGAGAGAAACCCCAGCAAAUCAUCAUCAUGAAGCCGGUGGACAGAAGCCCUCGUCCCACAUGGCAAGGUGGAACCAGCAUCACCAACAUAGUCUGCAGUUAGCUCUGAAUUCAAAUGAUUCUCACCCACCACCGCUUGACAUUGAAAUUCAGCUUCAACAUCCGCAAAUGCCACUUGCCAUAAAAUAUCUCUAGAAUCUGAAGGAUAAUACCAU